UGAGUUUGCGUAUAGAUCUAUACUGGAUUGACUAUCCUACACCUUGCUGCUAGCUACAGCCGGACCUGCAGGUCUGCGGGUGCCAAACGUCAUUUCUUUUAUUACGACCAUUCAUUAUGUCGUUGUUACCAGUCGAUAGCAUGGUGCAAUUUAUCACAUUAUGCCUUAAUAUAAAUCCGGUUUAAGGUAGUAGUAUUUAGUACAACAGUAGUCUUAUUAUACAAAGCUACAGUACUACAAUGAUUUACCCAUUACAUAUUUUAGUGAUAACCUCACUUAAGCAUUAGUGUACAAACUAUAUUUUUAACAAAUGAUAGUUAUACUUGGGAAAUUACACACUUUUACAAUAGACAAGUUUACAAAACAGUUUAGCCUUGGUAGAAGGUUACUUUAAUAGAAAAUAUAGGUUUUUCUGAGAGAUUCAAACUUUCACAAACACUUUCAAACAUUUACUUACAUUUUCACAAACUUAUACAUUGAGACAGGUUCAAACGUUUUUACAAGAAACAUUGACACUAAAAUACUUAUGAACUCGCCAGCUUAAUGCUGAUAAACUCUUUCAAAAUAACUUGUAUUCUCAGGUCAUCAGUAGACAGGUACCGAGGCCAGCUUUUGAGAAGAUGGAGUGCAUUCAAGACUCAUCUCAUAUUAUUUUGUGUUACAUUAUUUUGGUGUCUAUAACUGUACAGAACACACUUGUAUUAAAAUUAUAUAUUUAAUGCAAUGGAUGAUGUUGUUUGCUUAUUUACAUUUACUGUGUUGUGAUACUAUACAUGACGUCCUCCGCCCCAGAAUGUUUCCGCCGUUCUUGGUUUUGGGGUGUGACAUCCUCCCUCUUUGUAACCAAACAGAAACCACCAACACAUUCGCCCAAAUAGAAAGGCUUUCAUUUUUUGGAUAUCAGAUCGGGAAUUUGGGAUAUAUGAUAUAUUAUUAGGAUACAAUUUAAUAUGUAAGACGAAAAGGAUCAUAUGUACCAUAUAUCAUAUUAGAUGUAUGAUAGAUCGGACCAGAGAUAGGGUUGUCGUUUUAUUGUCACUCGGCCAUUGUUUUUAUUCGGUUAUCCAUCUUUUUUCCUCAAUGUCGACUCUAAAUUUUGUCACUUACAACCAUUUUCAUCUUUAUUUUUGAAAUAGUUUGUUGUUUCGGUUGUUUCAUUCAAGAUCAAACGAUGAAAGGAGGCAAAUCAAGUGAAGGAAAGCCGAUGCCAAGUACGAUUUCAUCUGUACUAUAUUUCAUAGAUGUUUGUUAGGGUUUAUGUUGUUUUUUUCACUUUCAAUGAAAUAAGGUUUUUGUUCUUUACCAGGAUCAUGAUUUUGGUACUUGUAACAGUUUUUUUUGUUAUAACUUUAGGUUGCCUGUAAAGAAAACUACAGCCAAGUGGAAGUUGCUUAGGAUCCCAAUAAACCUAAUAGAAAGGAUUUCAUUUUUGCUUUGAUUUAUCUUCCUUUUUGAUAUUUGCAUUGCAAUUUAUUAAGCUUUUUUUUCAAGUUUUCUGUAUCUAGAUUGAGUUGAGUUUAUGCUUUCAAGUUUUAGCAUUUGAUGUGAAUUUUACUUGUAUAUUAUCAGGUUGGUAAGCUGGAGUGGCAAAAUGGAAGUCAAUGUCAGGUUCUGUAAGUAGCACUUACAUUACAUCAAUAUGUUUAGUUUUUUUAAGCAAAAUCAUAAUGUGCAAUAAAAUGCAGAAUAAGAAUAACCAUAUAGAGUAACGUCUGUUAAUAAAUAUUUUUACUUUUAACAUUUAGACUCAAAACUUCUAAUGACUAUAUAGAAAAUUGAUGUAGUAUUUACCUGUUUUUUUGGUGAUGUGAAUGUAGGACAAGACACCUUUUGUAGCCAAAGCUGACAAAAGGAAGACGGAAUAUGAGAAGAACUUGGAAUCCUACAACAAAAAACUUGUGAAAUGUUUAUUAGAAGUCAUCUUUUAAUCAUUAUAGUAUUGUAGUUUUGUUUAAUUGACUUUUAGUUUGCUGCCAUGAACGUAGUCUGCAGGUGAUAAUGAUGAUUCAAACAAAUCUCAAUACCAAAUAUUCCCUUCCCCAACAUCAACAACAUGUGAGUACCAUUAUUCCACCAUUAAACAGUUACAAUAGAGAAAUAUUCUUCGAUCAAUGGUAUUUUGUUGAUGUCUUAACUUUUAAAGCCUUGUGGUGUAGAUUGUAUUGUGUUCUGAUUUGAAGUUUUAUGUAAGGGACAAAAUUAAGCGUACAACAUUAUAAGAGGUAUGAUGAUUAUGUCAUCUUUAUGAAAAAAAAAGUUUAAAUCUAUGUUUUCCCAUUUUUUUUUUAAUAAAAACUUGUUAUUGAUACAAUUAAACAUUUUUUGUAGGGAAUCCUAAAACAUGGUCAAUAUUGAGAUGAUACAAUAAAGAGUGUGACCAGGUAGAUGAAACAGACAUCAUUUUACCAUUUUACCAUUUCAGGUGUGAAACAACUUUUAGCUUCAUAAUCUUGAUUUGUUUUUCAUUUGUUUUAAAACGUGUGUAACAAUAACUAUGAUUGAGUGUUUCAUAUAUAUUUGGUAUGAUGGCACUUAAUUAUUGUUUCAGGGCAUCCUUUUAUUCUCAAAUGUAUUUAGUAAAUUUCAACAAAUAAUGGCCGUCAGAAGGCUCCUAUCAAUCAUUUUGAAGUUCAUUGGGAAGGUUAGUAAGCAGUGAGUUAGUACAUCACUACAUCUAACAUCUUAUAUGUUGCAUGCAAUACUUGUGUAACUAAAAGAGCAUUAAAACUCUAACUUAUUCGAGAUUAUUGCCAUCUGCUUUACUAAUGAUACAUGGAACACAUAUAAUGCUGAACUCCCAAUAUUGACAUUUAAUUACUUAAUUUUCAUGUUAUAUAAAUCAUGUUAUACAUAGAACAAAUCAUGUCCAGAUAACAAACUUUGAUUUAUUUUACAAAUCUUUAUGAUAGUAUGCAACAAAUAACAAUGAAUUUUUAUUUGUUUAUUAGUCUCUACUUUCCCUUUUUCCUAUUAUAACAUUAUGCUUUUAAAAAACUACAAAUUAAAUUAAUAAAAUAUAUACUUCCAAUGAAGUGUUUUGUUUUUCUAUUUUUACAAUCAGUUUUUAACUUUUUUGAUAUGUUGGAAGAACUUGUAUUUGAUUUUCUAUUGAAGGGAUUUUUUGCAUGUUGAACAAGUUCUAUAAAUAUACCUUUAUUGUCUUGUUUAUUUCAAACUUUUAAUUAAUAUUUUUGCUUCCUCAUUAAUGCAAUGGAUGCCUCAUUAUCAAUGUAAUUUUUGGUUGCUUUGUUGGUUUGUUUAAUGUUGUUGGAGUAUUGAUUAAUAUUGUGGAAAAGAAGGAUAAUAUUUUGGAAUAAAGUACGGUUAAAUAGAAUGUAAUACGGCUAAUAAAGUGUGUAUUAUAUGUGAAGGUGUUGUGGAGAUAGAGUACGUUUGUUUAACCGUACUCUAUUUGGCAUCAAAUCUAAUAAACCCCCAUUACGGGAUGCAAACCCGUACUUUAUUUUGGAAAACAACCGUAUUCCAUUUAUGUUUUUCUAGUAGUGUAUAUAGGAAUUAUAGGGUUUUCUAUUAAUUUUAUUUGUGUUCAGGCAAUUAUAGGAUUACAUAUACUUAUACAUUUAUACUACAUCAAAAAUUGGUAUAAAAAUCCCAACUUUCACUAAUCCUCAUUCUCCAAGAAAUUACUACACAUCACUUCUGAGGUAAACUCGAAUAAAAUCCACAACCCACCAACAUAAUGUUGUUAGAACACUGAAAGUGACCCUCUUGAACUUUACAGAACCGCAACCAACUUGCUACCGCAAUGAAAGCAUCUACUACAAUCAUCCGAAGUCAGAAGACAUCAAGCUUUUGAACUUAUUCUUUUUUUUUUUUGUGUUUUCUUUUUGCUUUCGAUUUUCUAGUAUGCCUUUCAUGGAUACAUCUAGAAGUUAUCUUUUGUAAUGCUUGAGUCUCUAUAAAUAGAUCUCACUUGUUCUGAAUAAAAUACGCAUCUUCAAGUAUCUUCACUACUUAUCUCUGAGAUCUUCUUCUCUCAUUUUCUCACUAUCAUAUCUGAUCGUAAUCUCUCUUCGGAGCAAGUCCUUGUGACUUCUUCACUAAGUUUGAUCUCUCUUACUAACUUUGGUUUGAACACAUUCCAAGUUAUGAAUCAACUUACGUGUAUUCUUGAUACAACAAUUGCUGUCAUUUACAUUACUUUACUUUCUGCAUCUAACUCACUAACUCCUAACUAUUAAUAUUAUUGUUGAGCUAACAGAUCCUUCGAGAUUAACUAUUCCGCUAUAUACUUGUUCUAAUCAUUUUUGUUCAAGUGUAUCUCAAAGUUCUUCUCUUAACAAUUGGUAUCAGAGCCAGAGUGGUUACUCUUUGAAUAUCGGAGCUCUGAUUUUUCAAAGGGCCUUCUAUACCACUGAAGCUCACUUCUAAACAAAAUUUCAAAUGGCACAAUCAUUAUCACUGAAUGUUUCCAACAGUGUUGGUGGUUCCAAUCGAACCCCAAUACUGGUUGCAAAUGAGUAUCACCACUGGUCUCAAAGGAUGGAGAGAUAUCUCAGACGACUUGGUAGAGACAUCUGGAGAUCUGUAGAAGAAGGACCCCAUGUUCCAGUCCGUACCCCUGUUCAAAUUGAUGGAGACACAACAAGACUUGGAGAAGGUCAACCAGCCUUGAGUCGUCCCACAAAAGAUGAUCUAGACAAAAUGGAAAGUGAUGCUAUUGCCUUUUAUGAAAUCUCUUGUGGAGUUGCUCCUAACAACUUCGACAUCAUCAUAAAUUGCGAAUCAGCAAAGGAAAUUUGGGAUGUUCUCAAAAACUUGUAUGAAGGUUCAGAGCAGGCUCAAGACAAGAAGCUCACUACAGCACUCAACGAAUUCAAUAAUUUCAAAGCCCACUCCGGUGAAAGUUUGGAAGAUUCUUUUAAAAGGUUUAAUUUGAUUGUCACAAAACUGUCCAAUGCGGGCACCAUCCACAGCAAUCAUGAAACAAAUCUGCAGUUUCUAAAUGGCUUAGGAAGACACUGGACAAUAGCCAAAAUGAUUGUACAAGGUGACAGGAAGAUUCGCUCCUUAUCUAUCUAUAAACUUUAUGGAGAAUUGCAAGCUCAAGAGUCCACUGUACUCAAGGAAUGCUCAAACUUCGGAGGACCAAUUGCAUUAGUAGCCCAAUCACCUCACACUCAAACCUAUUCCACCUCAUAUGACUCUCCACCGCAAUCAUAUGAAGCUGACUCAGAAUAUGACGACGAAGAAGAGUUUCAGAAUGCCAUUGCUCUUAUUAGUCAGAAAUUCAAUCUCUUACCACCCUCAUUUCGCAAAAACCAACAAUUUAAUAGACCACCUUUCAACCGUAACUUUCAGAACAAUCACUUUUGUUCCACUAAAAACCCUCUCCCUCCACCGCAGUCUCAGCAGACACAGUCAAAAGAAGUACCACUGCAGUCCCAAUGAACUGACUACGGUACCUCUACAGAAGACAAGGUUGAUGUCAUCAUAUGUCACAAAUGCAACAAGGAAAACCAUUUUGCCAAAGAUUGCAAGGAAAAUGUAGUAAAAGAUAGAGCCUUCUAUCUUCGAAUGGAUCAAGAACUGGAAGAUAAAGAAAAGGGAAAGGCCUACGUUGCUCAAGUAAAAAGGAAUCAUCAAGUGUGGUCAUCAGGAGAUGAGGAUGAAGAAGUUCUUAGCAAAGGAAAAGGCAAGAUCUGUAUGGUAGCAACUGCUGAUGAAGAUGGCUCAUCCAAUCCAAAGAAGAACCAUUGCUACAUGGCUAAAAAUGGAACUCUCAGCAUUGUGGAACAGGUAAAACUCAUGAUUCAAACUUUAAGUUACAACAUGCAUGAUUGUCAACCUUUCAUAGACACACUCAAUGACACUUGUGCUGCCGUCCUUACAGAUUACAAUAAAGCCCUAGAUGAGAAGAAUAUCGCUUCGCAGGAAAUGUUCCAUGUUAGAGGACGUUUGGACAAUAAGAGACUCAAAAUGGCAAUGUUAGAAAAGGAUUUAAUGUUAGAAAAGGAUGCUAGAAUGUUAGUGAAAGUCAAUUAGAAAUAGCUUUAAAUCAAAGAGAUCUAGCACAAAAUGAAAUUGUACGUUUAAAUCUUUUAAUUGAAAAACUGUUUAAUAAAACUGAGGCCAUUGAGAAUCUUGUCAAUAAUGGGAAUGUUGAUAAAACCUUUAACUGGGGUUGGUCUAAUGGUUACCCUACCGCAACAGACUCAUCACCUCGGUUCACACCGGAACGUCCCUAUAUCCCACCAGACCACAAUUUCUUAUUUCCAGUCAAUAACAAAACAUUUCCUGAGGAUAUCCAAGUCCACUUUGGAAACUUCAUGAUUUGAGUAAUAAUUGUGUUAUAGAAGAAAUUCUCCUUGAAUCUUCUACUCAUGUCAACAACACAGAUUCUCAGACAUCAUCCGUAGUUGAUGAGGAAAUUGUUAUUGAAAGUCCUGAAGUCUCUUUAGACUUCCCAUCCUUACAGUCUGACCGCAGUAUCUCUGACUGCAUUCACAUACCGCAAUCUAUCCCAUUACCUAAUAUGAAUUUUCCUAAAGAAGUAUUCACCAAGACUUACUCUGUCGUAGUCCAAAACACUAUUCCACGGAUUGAAGUCAAGAGUUAUGUGAUCAUUGAACUAGUUAAUCAUGAAUUACCAAUUGAAAAUUUUGAGUUUGGUCAAUGUUCUCAAAGUCCUAAUUUCUCAAGUUCGGAUGAAUCGAGUCACUAUUUUUCAAAAAACUCUAAAGUUUCUAGGAAACCGUAAUUAAAUAUCACUGACUGCGGUUCUCCUAAGACCGAAGCAAAAAGAGUUUUUAAAGAAGAAUUUCGUUCUCGUGGAAAACAAAAAAUUUGCUCCAAAAUUAAGAAAUCAGUGAAAUAUCCUGAAUCAAAAAGUCCUGAGGAGUUUGUUCUUUCAAAUUAUCAUUUCAAGAAAACUGUUUCCAAGAAAACAAAAAGAAAGGAGUUCACUGUUUCUGACAAUACUCAAAAACAAUCCAAACAUGUGGAUUUCAAAUCUAUUUUAUUAAUGACCCAAAACGGAAGGGUAUCUUACCUAUUCCAACCAUUUUAGUAUCACAGUCCCAAAAAUGGAAAGGAACUUUGCCAACUCCGGCACCCAAAAAGUCAUUUCAAACGCAUAAGAAAUCACAUCACAAAAGGUCAGCACGUAUCUUCACAUCUGCCAGACCUACACAAAACACCUUUUCAAAACACACAAACAAAAAGGUCAAAUUUGACAAUCCUCGGAAUGGACAAAAACAUACUUUAUCUUCAAAACCUCAGACCAGGUCAAAGGUCAGGAAAAAUGACAAAAAGUUCUCUAGUCAGUGUCAAUGUGGAGGAAUUCGAAAAAAUUUCAACACCCAGAAUUUCAGGGUCAAUUCUAAUAAUUACUCACAAUCUCACAAAACUCCAAAGAUUUUCAAACACCCAGGACUAGGUUUGAAAGUUGACUUAAAACCUGUCCCUGCCACCUCGCAUCAUGCAUCGAUUAACACAUCGUAUGUGACCUCGGGCUCCAAACUCACUUGGGUGCCCAAAUUAACCACUUAAUUUUGUAGGAAUUGUGCAAGGAGGAUGAAGAAAAAGAAUGGCUGAUCAACAGUGUCUGCUCCUUGCACAUGACCGGAAGGUUAGAAUACCUUUGGGAUUUCAGGCCUAUAUGCAGUGGUGGAAAUGUCACUUUUGGAAACAAUGCAAAUGGCAUCAUACGAGGCUAUGGUGUUCUCACCACGGGGAACUUUUCCAUUCAGAAGGUUGCUUAUGUAGAAAGUCUUAAACACAAUCUCAUCAGUGUUGGCCAACUAUGUAAAGCAGGCCAUCGAGUGGAAUUUGAUGAUCAAUUAUGUUACAUAAUGACGGGUAACCGAAGCACUUGCUUAAUCAAAUCUCGCUCCAAAGGUACAAUGUAUCCUCUGGAUGUUUCUCUCAUAAUUGGUAAACCGCAACUGUGUUUUCUCUCUAAAAUUGUAUCCGAAGUCAGCUGGCUAUGGCAUCGCAAGCUAGCUCAUCUCAAAUUCAGAUACAUCAACAAUCUAGUCACUGGUGAAAUAGUACGCGGUCUCCCUAUUCUCAAAUUCAACAACGAUACUCUCUGUCCAGCCUGUGAAUGUGGAAAACAAGUCAAAGCAAGUCACCCUUUGAUAAUGGAUUCAUCUAUUUCAGAGCCUCUGGAACUAUUACACAUUGAUCUCUGCGGUCCUUCAACUGUAGCCAGUCUUCACCACAAAAAAUAUAUACUGGUUAUUGUUGAUGAUUUCACUCACUUUACAUGGGUCUUCUUCCUCAGACUCAAAUCAGAGACAUUGCAGAUCUUUAUCAACUUCAUCAAAGAAAUAGAACUUCAGAUCAAGCUUCCAGUCAGACACAUCUGCAGUGAUAAUGGAACUGAAUUCACUAAUCAUCUUCUCAACAGUUUCUUGGUUUCCAAGGGUAUUUCUCAUAACUUCUCAGCACCCUACACUCCGCAACAAAAUGGUGUCGUCGAACGAAGAAAACGCACAUUAGUAGAAGCAGCCAGAUCCAUGUUUAACUUCGCCCAUCUUCCUCUUUACUUCUGGGCUAAAGCUGUAGCAACUGCGUGCUUUGUCCAGAACCGAAGCAUUGUGUGCAAAUGUCUCAAAAAAACAUCAUACGAAGGUCUUAACAACCGCAAGCCGAAUGUUCGUUUCUUUCAUAUCUUUGGGUGUAGAUGUUUCGUGAUCAACAAUAAAGAUCAACUUAAUAAAUUUGCACCAAAGUCUGAUGAGGGCAUCCUCCUUGGUUAUUCCACUAACAAGGUUGCCUAUCGAGUACUUAUCAGACGUACAAGGAUGAUCAUUGAAAGCUUUGAUGUGAAAUUCGAUAAUUCUCACAUCCAUAAUGCCCCUUCAUCCACUGAAACCACCGCAAUCAUGGAAUAUGACAUUCCUGCAUCUUCUGGCCCCUUAAACCUAGUCGAAGUCAAUUAUGAUGAUCUCUUUGAACCGGUUGAAAUGGCAAAACUAUCAGAAGUUCUUACAUCUCCCACCGCUCAAGAAAAACAUACUAACAUCUCUGUACCAUCUACAUCGGAAGAAGUUUCUCUCAAUACUUCCACCUCUCCGGUUGAAGGGAGCUCUACUCCAAAUCUAGCCGCAACCAUUGAGGUUCCAGUACUUGAUGAUGUGCAAAUUCCUACCCGCAGAGAAACAUUACCAUCAAAUGUAUCUUCGGAUUCGGAUGAUGAACUCAUAGAGAAUAUUGAUACUAGAUCUGAUCCAAGAAUUGUCACUCUCCCAUCCACAAUACAGGGGGGAACCAUCUCAGGUUACAGAUAAUCUCCCUUCAACAAUCCAAGGGGAACCUAUCAAAGAAAAUGUCUCUCUCACACCAACAAGUCAAGAUGACUCAGCAGGCUGUUCUCAAAUCCAGGGGGAACUUCCUUCAUCACUUGAAGCAACCUCAGACAUUGAAAACAUUCCUUCUACCGCAGCUGCUGAUCAUCUGAUGCCUCGCCUACAUGUAUGGACGAAGGAUCACCCACCAGGUCAAAUUAUUAGGAAUCCUUCCGCAGGUAUACAAACUCGAUCUGUCAAAGAUUUAUCUGACCAUUGUUACUAUGCAGCAUUCAUGUCCGCAGUCGAGCCUAGGUCUAUCAAAGAAGCCUUAUUGGAACUAGAUUGGAUUUCUACUAUGCAAGAAGAACUGGAAUAAUUUGAAAGAAACAAAGUAUGGCAAGUUGUUCCCAUCCCACAAGGUCAUACUAUUCUUGGCACUAGAUGGGUUUUCAAGAACGAGCUAGAUGAAUCUGGUGCAGUCAUCAGAAAUAAGGCAAGGCUAGUUGCUAAAGGUUAUAGCCAACUGGAAGGUGUUAACUACGAUGAGACAUACACUCCGGUAGCUAGAAUGGAAGCAAUUAGAAUAUUCUUAGCGUAUGCCUCUCACAAAAACAUCAAAGUGCACCAAAUGGACGUUAAGAGUGCUUUUCUCCAUGGGGAAUUAAAAGAAGAUGUUUAUCUUCAACAACCUCCCGGAUUUGAAAGCUGUUGACUCUAUUAAGUGCAACUUGCAUCUUCAGAUAUUUCUCUGCCUUGCCCUGCAACACUCUUGCAAUGUGGAAGAUCUCAUCCAGAUUCAUGCAAGGAAAAUCAGCUUGGUUCCUUACAUAAUCUUGUUCGCUUCGGGUUAGAGUGUAUUUGAAAAACUCUGACUUCAUAAACUUUCUGGCUCUGUAGUUUACUACUGCGGAUGGUCGAUCAUUUGACCAAAUGUGCUCAAAAGGAGAAGCAUACUUUGCAUAUAAUUGAGAAAGUCUCUCAAAUUCCAUAGGCAAUCGUUUGGCAUCAGGAAGGCUUUCAUCGAAUGGCUCAAACACAGUGAAGUAUUUGGCAUUGGGUGAGAUGGGAAUAUCCCAGUAACCAUCAGUAGGAGGCUCAACAUAUGUAAGAUGAGGAACGUAGUCUUCAUCCAGUAGUCUUCGGUGUGGAUUAACCCAAGAGUUGAUCAGAGUCUCAUCCAUGAAUGUAUCAAAUCCGCAUAGCCUCCAGAUCUCCUCACCAAGUUUGGCUGCCCUCCAGUCUUUCUUCGUUUGGGAUGUGGUGGGAGAAUCUGUUGAGCUUGGAGAUGACGUAUGCUCCUCAAGAUGUUUGAACGGGGGAGUUUGAGGUUUCUCCGGAACGUGACGCGCGUUGUGAGAUGAUGGUUGCGGUGAGGGAAUCUUGCCAGUGAUGAUAGGUGGAGUUUUAUCUGGAGAGAUUGAUUGUUGAGAUUGAUGCUCGUGAUCAAUCUCUCCUCCAGAUCUAGCCGCAACCAUCGAGGUUCCAGUACUUGAUGAUGUGCAAAUUCCUGCCCGCAGAGAAACAUUACCAUCAAAUGUAUCUUCGGAUUCGGAUGAUGAACUCAUAGAGAAUAUUGAUACUAGAUCUGAUCCAAGAAUUGUCACUCUCCUAUCCGCAGUACAGGGGGAACCAUCUCAGGUUCCAGAUAAUCUCCCUUCAACAAUCCAGGGGGAACCUAUCAAAGAAAAUGUCUCUCUCACCCAAACAAGUCAGGAUGACUCAGCAGGCUGUUCUCAAAUCCAGGGGGAACUUCCUUCAUCACUUGAAGCAACCUCUGACAUUGAAAACAUUCCUUCUACCGCAGCUGUUGAUCAUCUGAUGCCUCGCCUACAUGUAUAGACGAAGGAUCACCCACCAGGUUAAAUUAUUGGGAAUCCUUCCGCAGGUAUACAAACUCGAUCUGCCAAAGAUUUAUCUGAUCAUUGUCACUAUGCAGCAUUCAUGUCCGCAGUCGAGCCUUAGUCUAUUAAAGAAGCGUUAUUGGAACCAGAUUGGAUUUCUGCUAUGCAAGAAGAACUGGAAGAAUUUGAAAGAAACAAAGUAUGGCAACUUGUUCCCAUCCCACAAGGUCAUACUAUUGUUGUCACCAGAUGGGAUUUCAAGAACAAGCUAGAUGAAUCUGGUGCAGUCAUCAGAAAUAAGGCAAGGCUAGUUGCUAAAGGUUAUAGCCAACUGGAAGGUGUUGACUACGAUGAGACAUAUGCUCCGGUAGCUAGAAUGGAAGCAAUCAAAAUAUUCUUAGCAUAUGCCUCUCACAAAAACAUCAAAGUGCACCAAAUGGACUUGAAGAGUUCUUUUCUCAAUGGGGAAUUAAAAGAAGAGGUUUCUCUUCAACAACCUCCCAGAUUUGAAAGUAUCGAGUUCCCUGAUCAUUGCUACAAGCUUCAGAAUGCUGUCUACGGUCUGAAACAAGCCCCUAGAGCUUGGUAUGAAACUCUCUCUGAAUUCUUAGUCUCUUCAGGAUACAAAAAGGAGUGAUUNCACAUUAUUUAGAAAAGCAAACGGAACUCACUUUAUGCUUGUACAAAUAUAUGUGGAUGAUAUCAUCUUCGAAUCAUCUGAUCAUCGAAUGGUGGAUGAAUUUGCUAAGCUCAUGACAAACAAAUUUCAAAUGAGCAUGAAUAGAGAGGUUAACUUCUUUCUAGGUCUCCAAGUCAAACAAAAUCAGCAAGCAAUGUUCAUUCAUCAAGAGAAAUAUACUACUGAACUUCUGAAAAAAUAUUCAAUGGACAACUGUUCUUCUGCUAAGGUCUCAAUGACCUUCAGAUAUAAGAUCUCUGCUGAUCCCGCUGGUGAAUCUGUGGAUCACAAGACUUAUAGAGGUAUCAUUGGUUCACUAAUGUACCUCACCGCAAGCAGACCUGAUAUUGUCUUCGCAACCGGUGUGUGUGCAAUAUACCAGGCUGAUCCAAAAAUGUCACACAUGACCGCAACCAAACAAAUUCUUCGGUAUCUAAAAGGAAGCAAAUCUAUGGGUCUUUGGUACCCCGCAGGCAAUGACUUCAGUUUUCAAGCAUUUACUGAUGCAGAUCAUGCUUGAUGCAAACUUGAUCGAAAAAGUACAUCUGGUGGUUGCCAAUUUUUAGGAGGAAGACUUGUCAGCUGGUCUUCGAGGAAACAUAGUUGUGUAUCUUUAUCUACCGCAGAAGCAGAAUACGUGGCCGCAGCCAGUUGUUGUUCCCAAGUUCUUUGGAUGAAGACACAAUUACUAGACUACAGGUACAGAAUGCUGAGGAUACUAAUUUACUAUGACUCUAAAAGUGCCAUCGCAAUCUCUCAUAACCCUAUUCAGCACUCCAAGACAAAACAUAUUGAGUUACGGUAUCAUUUCAUCAAAGAUCAUAUUCUGAAAGGUAAUAUUGAACUCAUUUUUGUUCCUACUCAUGAAGAGAUUGCUGAUGUCUUUACAAAAGCACUUGACUCUACAAAAAUGAAUGUAUUCCUACGAAUGUUGGGAAUGAUGAACCCAGACCCACAAUUCUUUUUGAAUUGUUAGCUACCGCAGACCAUCCUUGGUCUCCGUUGCGGUUCUAACUUAGAAUUACAUAUGAUGGAUGGUUUUGGUACCGCAGUCUGUUAUUACUAACUUUUGUUCAAAGUUUUUUUUCCUCUCAGCUUCUCACUGCAGUCUUUCCAUUGUUUAUCCGCAAUGACAUCUCCAAUUGCAAUGAAGUCUUUUCAUCUGUAAUCUUUGUGAUAAUCUCUUAAAAAAACUCUUUCUUUUUUCAACUUCAAAAAAAACUUUGUAUGCUAUUCAAUGUUCAUUCAUUAAAUAACAUAAAACAAAAAAAAAACAUUCUCAUUAAAACUGUUGUUUUUUAAUAAAAUAAAAUAAAAAAAAAACUUUAUCAGACCUAUUUUAGGGAUGAUGACAAAAAGAGCAUAUCUCCAUCCAGCUCAUUCUUAAUUUGUCCUUUCCUCUCCCAAACACAUCCCAUCUCCCACACACAUCCCAUCCGUUACCACUUCCUCUCCCAUCACCCCCACGAUUACCUGACGUAUAAACAUGCGUCUAUCUUUACAUUAAAUGUAACCCUUUUUGGAAAUCUCCCAAAAUCUUUUUAAACCCGUUUUUAAUAUUUGUGGCUGAGAUUCAAUCCAUAAUUCAUCUUUUCCCCCCAAUAAAACCCAAUCGUCGUUUUUAUCCUCCUCUUACCCGUUACCUAGGGUAAAAUCUUUUUCACCCCUCUUUAUAAACCCCUCUUCUUCUCCAUCAAUCCUUUACGCUUUCUGAAUAUCAAUUGUCUCUCUAAAAAACCUCCAUAACUCUCAAAGAACUCUGUUUCUCUUUUCUCACUAUGGUGAAAUCUGGUGCAUCCAAGAAGCAAUCCAAGGCUUCAGGUUUUGCAAAUCCAACAGGUUCAGACUCUCCAUCAACCGCCUCCAGCAAUUUCAGAGCUAUAUUUGAAGAUCAUCCUUGUUACAAUGCUCCCAUCAAGCUCAUGAUCAAGUUCCUCAAGAAUCAUCCUCUUUUUGGACCAUUUGACGCAUUUAUAGAAAUCGUACCAAUUUCCACCUUGUUCAAGUGUGAUUUUUCGGCAUAUCGACCACUCCAAAACCGUCAAGAAGUGCAUCUUCAUCUUGUGAAUGACGCAUUGGUCAUUCUGACCAAGAAGUUUCUAAGAUCAAUCAACCUACUGGUUCAUCCAUCGAUCAAGUUCUUCUCCCCAUCAAUGGCGGAUAUUACUGUAGCAAUAUACCAAAUGGGUUACCAGAAAAGAAUCAAGGGUAUCGGCGAGUUCAAGAAAAAUCAAUUGCCCGUAGUGUGGCAAUAUGUGUGCCACUUCAUCAUCCGAAGCCUAUCCGGUAGAACCGGAGGAACCGACAAUAUGGGGCUUAAGCUCCUUGAAUUGGUUUGGAGCAUAUUCACAGGUCAUGAUGUGAAUUAUGGGCAAAUUCUAUGGGAUGAAUUCCUUCAUUACAUCCCUAAGGAACACGGCAAGGAAAACCCAACAGAACUUACCUUUGCUAGGUUCUUGUCACUAUGCAUCCUGGAUCUUCAUGCCGAUGCAGCCAUUCCCAUGGGCAAUGAUAUCAAUCUUUUCGUUACAAAAGAUCUCUAAAGGUACAAUCCCUCAUCCGAUCAAUCUCUUUUUGGACCAAUCCGCAGGCUUCCCAACCAUAUUCUCUCUACACUUGGUCCUGAGACUGCUGAUGUCUCAGACCAUAUUGAGGCUAUGGAGGGUAUUGCCCCAUACCCUUCUACCCCGCCUCUUCCAUCUGCAACCAUUAUCCCUGAGGGUACCGUAGUCCCCUCUGCCACUACUCUAUUGAAUCUUUCUCAAAGAAGAAAGACAUUGGCAUCCAAAAAGAAACAAAAAACACCAUAGAAGGAUGCUCCCAAACCAACCGCACCCAUAAAAAAACGCAAAGCCCAACCAACCACUAAAUCAAUCAGUGAUUCUGAAGAGGAUAGGCAACCAAUUUCGAUCCUCAAGAAAAGAAAAACCAACACUACCUCUAGCCAAAUGCGUGACCGGACUGAUACCUCAGCCUCUCCACAGGCUAAGGUAGUCCUUGGGAUUGCCGCAGCUCCAUUCAAUACCACAAUCGAAUACCACUCAAGCUCAUCAUCUGAGUUUGUUUCAUCAUCAUCAUCAUCUGAACGUGGAGACAGCCCCCCAGUUCUAUCUUAAGUAGAUAAAUAUGGACAUCGCCCUAAGGUCUCAAGGGCUUCCCGACUGCAUGUUUUUUCUCUCGAGGAGUUAGACUCCAUCCUCUUGAACAUUUCCCAAACACUUCAAACACCAAUCCAUCCGCAGGGCACUUCUUUCGCUCAUGCCAGAAUGGAGCCGAGGCCAAACGUGACCACGGGUCAUGGAUACCGAGGAAGCUCCAAAAAUCCUACUCUGCUUCCAUCAUUUACAGGUGGUUUAGGCACGGUGAGAACACAUGUGCAAGGAUCCGUGAACCCAAUGGACACCUUGGUGCGCAACCGAAGAAUUGACGGAGAUGAUUCAAGUGAUUCUUGGAGUCGAUAUCAACCAACUACUAAUGCCGAAAUCAAGAAAUAUGCUGCCUUUCGAAGAUCAUUCCAAGCCCGAAAGGAUCAACAAAUCAAACAACAACAACAAAAGGAACAAGAACUUCAGGUGGUUGCUAAGUAUUGGGAUGAUGCGAUCAACAAUGCCUAUACUGUAGCAGGAAUUCUUCAUUUUCAAGACUGGAUGUCUCAGAAGGCCGAUUUACUUCUCAAAGCUCAAGCAACAUCUGCAGUCCAACAUACCACCCAAAUUCCUCCCACUACGGUUCUUGAAACAUCACAAGACGAAGGUCCUGAAAUAGUAGUCAGCUCAGCUCUUACCUUCGGUCUUGAUGAUGAUAAGGUACAAGAAGUCAUCAAACCCUCUCAUUCUGAAGACGACCUCAUGAUGUUCGAUGAAGGUGAAGAAUCUAGUGAUUAUCAUCACUCCACCUCAAAGCCCAAGAAGAAGAACAAGAAGAACGUAGUCACCAUAAAAGAGUUUCUAUCACUCCAGGCAAAAGUCGAUCAAAUCCUGGCUGCGGUCAAGCCAACUCAACCGCAACCAGAGGAUACUCAUGGACCUCAAUCGAUGAUUGAAAGUAUAAAAAGACUAGAAGCAAGGGAACUACUGGCUACGGAGCACAUAUCUUUAAAGGUCGAAAUGGGAAUCCGCUCCCUCGACAACAAUCGCAAAGCAGACUACAAAGACUUCAUGGAAUCCACUGAACGCCUUAUCUCCGAGGUCACUGCUAUCAAAAAUGAUCUUCAAACUACUAUCAAAGAUCAAGCCUCACAGUCUCAAAAAAUAAUAGAUGAAACUCAUAUAGCCUAUGAGUCUGCCAUCUCGGUUCUUCACUCCACCAUCAACCGCCUUCAAUGAUCAUUAACAACCAACUUCCAUGGCCCUGAAAUCCUUCAACUCACUAAGGAGAUUCAUCACAUGCUGUUCAAAUCAUCCUCCCCAACCAAUCAAUAGCUCACAGACGCCAUCAAAGCUCAAUUUCAGGAGGCCUUCUCCAAAAUUGAUGGCCUUCGGACAUGGAUUGAGGAAGCUCCGGUCUGGACUUCCUCAAGAGGGGGAAGUGAAAAAGAUCAAGCCCAUCAAUCUCAUCAAUCAGAUCACGAGCAUCAAUCUCAGCAAUCAAUCUCUCCACAUCAAACUCCACUUAUCAUCACUGGCAAGAUUCCCUCACUGCAACCAUCAUCUCACAACGCGCCUCACAUUCCGGAGAAACCUCAAACUCCCCCCCCCCCCAAUUCAAACAUCUUGAGGAGCAUAUGUCAUCUCAAAGCUCAACAGAUUCUCUCACCACAACCCAAAGGAAGAAAAACAGGAGGGCAGCCAAACUUGGUGAAGAGAUCUGGAGGCUAUGCGGAUUUGAUACAGUCAUGGAUGAGACUCUGAUCAACUCUUGGGUUAAUUGAAAAACCCUAACUUUCGUAUUUAUGAAAGACCCAAACUUUCAUACUCGACAAUAUAGUUACUCCAAAACAUGCUACUUGCAUAUUCAUAAAAACAAUAUUUUACAUUGAUAAAGAGAUUACAAACUACUGGAUACAAACCGACUAUUUUAAAGUGUUAUAUAUUACAUAACUUCCCAGGAUUCUAUAGUUUUAUACAUAUGGGAGUGCAAAAUACAAUAGUUUCAAACUAUUCAUAAGCUUCUAUCGAUACAAUAGUUUCAAACUAUUCAAAAAUCUUCUACCAGUAUAUAACUAUACUGGAUGUUUAUCUCCUGCAAUUUGUUAAACAUUGAGAGGGUAAGCGGUGACGCUUAGUGAGUUCAAUAAUAGAUACAAUAUAACGUUAUGCCAUAUAUACUUUAAUAAGUCAGAAGCAAACAGGAACAAUGAACAACAAGGGUAUAUGUGAAUCAUGUGACAAACAUUCCAUAUCUAUCAUUGAUUUGAUUUAAAGAUAUACAAUCAAUGAGACAUAACAAUUUCCAUGCUUGAUAUACAUCAAUAAAGCUUUGGCCCAAACGGCGCAAAAGAUAUACAACUUCGGAUUAACAUUUUGGUAGAUUUCAGGCUUAAAGCCCUGUCUAACCUUCUGCCAAUACCAUAGAAUAGAAUUCAUUCUCUUACGAAGACAUGUUCUACAUGGCUAGAGGCUACAUACCAGUACCAACGUGAAUUUAAAUCCUUUCACUGAUGACAUGGUCAAAGGUAUUUCUUUGCUAUUAAAAAUAGCAAAUAAAAAUAACCCGAAAUAAUAACACCGAAAGGCACGUAGCACAUAUAACACAUAACAUACAAUUGUUCCUAUAUAUUAAACUCACCGUGAAAUAACCAGGGGCUAAAAUAUUAAUUUGGGCAGUACUUUGGCUCUAAAUAUGACUUUCGUCGUUGAAAAACGGGAGUUUUCUUGAAAACCGGGCUCUACGAAGGUAGAGCUUUGAAACCGAAAAUAUAAAUUUUUCGUGCUUCUCGGGAGUCUCGGGGCGUGUUUCGGGCUUUGGAAUCAGUACCGGGGCUUCGGGGGAAGUGGAAGUAGAAGAAAUAUAAGUUUAGGGGUGAAAAAGGGGCAAAUUUCAAACAUUUACCUGGGAGGUCUCGCACCCCUUAUAUAGGGCUGAGGUAUGGAUCCGAAGCGAAGGGAAGAGGGCAGGUGGCUGCGAGGCUCAGACUAGAUGGCAGCUUCGGCUAGGCUCGGAUGCGAGGAGUCAUCAGCUUCAGGCGCGUCAUCGGCUGGGUCUUCGGCUCGGUCUUCGGCUCGGAACAGCAUGCUCGCUGACGGCAGCCUCGGAUUGGACCCAACUUCGGUCCAAUAGGAAGGCUCCACGUUGGUGCGAGGGUGAACCGGAGGUGUCUCAUGCAAAGCUGUCCCAUGCUUAGUGGACCUCGGACUUGGUCCAAUCAUAAGGCAACACGCAAAGCCGCCGUCCAAUCAGUAGCGAACACGUGUCCAACACAUGGAAGCCUCGCAUAAGAGGAUGACGUGGCAGUACUAUUCAUGCGAAUUUUCUCGAAAAAUGUGCCAAAUCUUGUAAAAUCCAUAACUUUCCCAUACGAGCUCUGUUUUUGAUGUUCUUUAUAUGCACGCGAAGCUAAAAUUAUGCUCAACGACUUUCGUUUAAAUUUCGUCAGCUAAUUUUGACUUUAAUUUUAAUAUUAUUAUUUUUAAUAGACCGGGACAGGAAAAUCCGUUAAAAAUUCAUAACUUCUUCAUCCGACGUCUGUUUCCGUCAGACUUUUUACCAUUGCACUACAAAUGACGAGACCUUCAAUUCUCAUUUAGGUUGUGCCGGCUAAAAAUCACUCGGUCUAAAAUUCGAGUUUUUAGCUGUCUACUGCUAAGCUGAAACUUCGAAAAAUUAUAACUUCCUCAUACGAAUUCAAAUUUUGGCAUUCUUUAUAUGAAAGUUGAUUAUUUUAACGAGUUCUACAACUUUCACUUACAUCACUAGGGAUAAAAAUUAGUUUAUCGAAAACUAAAUUAUUACGCGACAAAGUAUUUUCCGGAUUUAUCACGGAUCUUCGUUUGGUCAUAACUUCUUCGUUAUAACUCGAAUUUCGACGAGGUUUUCACCUAAAUGUUUCUAAUGAGAUUUUCUACAACUUCCAACAAUAAAAUUUUACUUAUUCCAAAUUUUAUAUUUUCCCUAUAUUUCACUAUUUGACUUUUAAUUGGAAUCUCAUAAGACUUCCAACAUUUUAUGAGUGAUUUUAAACAUAGUUUUACUUUAUUUCUAGUAAAAACUAUCUGUUAGAACUCAACAUUCAAAUUCACUUAAUAUUUCAUAAUAUUAUUUACUUAAAACACGAUUUCAAAACGUGUAUGUUACAAAUACCUCCUCCUUUUGAGGAUUUCGUCCCCGAAAUUACAUCGAUUAAAAUAAAUGGGGAUAUUUUGCUCUUAUCUCAUUCUUAUUUUCCCAAGUAUAAUUUGGGCCUCGAUGGUGUUUCCACUUGACAAGCACCAACUCCACUUCUUUAUUACGUAGAUUAGUUGUUCUUUCAUUCACGAUCUCUUCCGGCUCUUCUACAUAUCUUAACUUAUUAUCCAAUUUCACCUCGGAUAAUGGAACUGUCUCAUCAUUGAUGCUCAAGCAUUUGCGCAGAUAGCUCACAUGAAACACAUCAUGAAUACCUGCCAAAUCUUCAGGUAAUUCUAAGCGGUAUGCUUGCUUUCCAAUUCUCUGGAUGAUUUUGAAAGGACCAACAAAUCUAGGACUUAACUUUCCUUUCUUCCCAAAUCUCAUAAGGCCUUUCCAUGGAGAUACCUUCAGCAUCACGAAAUCACCCACUUGGAAUUCUAUGGGUCGUCUUCUCUUUUCUGUAUAGGACUUCUGUCGAUCCUGGGCCGCUUUCAUUCUUUCUCGUACGAUUUGAAUUUUGUCGGUGGUGUCUUGAAUCAUUUCAGGGCCUCCAAGGAUCUUCUGUCCUAUGUCUCGCCAACAUAAUGGAGUACGACACUUGCGACCAUAUAAUGCUUCGUAUGGUGGCAUUUUGAUUGAAGCGUGGUAACUAUUAUUAUACGAGAAUUCGACAAGAGGUAAGUAUUUAUCCCAGUUACCACCGAACUCCAAGACACAUGCACGAAGCAUAUCUUCUACUGUUUGGAUUGUUCUCUCCGUUUGACCAUCUGUCUGGGGAUGAUAUGCUGUGCUGAGAGCAACUCGAGAUCCUAAUUCACGUUGCAUACUCGCCCAAAAGUGAGAAGUGAAGCGAGUAUCACGAUCGGAGAUGAUCUUUAGUGGCACACCAUGUCUUGCCACAAUUUCAUCCAAGUAUACUUGUGCGUAUUUCUCCAUUGGUGCCGUUUCACGCAUGGCAAGAAAAUGAGCGCUUUUAGUCAGGCGGUCGACAAUUACCCAAAUGCUAUCAUGUUGUCUAGCAGUCUUUGGCAAUUUGGUAAUGAAAUCCAUGGACAAUUCCUCCCAUUUCCAUACAGGAACACUAAGACUUUCUGGGGUUCCAUAAGGCUUUUGGUGCUCUGCUUUGACUUGUAAGCAUACUAAGCAUUCCUGUACAUAUCUUCCAAUGUCUCUCUUUAAUCCAGGCCACCAAUAAUCAGCUCUUACAUCAUAGUACAUUUUACUUGUACCAGGAUGGAUUGACAGUUUAGAUUUAUGGGCUUCAUCUAAAAUCUUCUGUCUCAAUCCACCGAUCUUUGGAAUCCACAGCCGAUUCUUGAAUACUUUUAAUCCUCGCGGAUCAUCAAGUAGAGCAUCAUUAUAAUGUAUCAUCCCUUCUUUCUUCACAUUUUCUGGCUUUAGGGCCUCUUCUUGCCAUUUCUCUAAUUCAUCUAAAAUAGUGAAUUUUACUGUAGUAUGAGUAAUGGCAUAACACAUACUAUUGCGAUAAACUUUUCUGCUAAGUGCAUCAGCAACCACGUUAGCUUUUCCAGGAUGAUAUAGGAUUUCACAAUCAUAAUCUUUGAUCAGCUCCAUGGCUCGUUGUUGUCUCAUAUUCAAAGUUUGCUGACUGAAUAUGUACUUGAGACUUUUGUGGUCGGUAAAUAAUUGGCACUUUGUACCAAAAAGAUAAUGCCUCCAAAGUUUUAGGGCAAAUACCACUGCAGCGAGUUCGAGAUCAUGAGUGGGAUAAUUCUUUUCAUAAUCUUUCAGUUGUCUUGAGGUAUAGGCUAUCACUUUGCCACGUUGCAUCAACACACAACCGAGUCCCAAUCUUGAAGCAUCACUAUAUACAGAGAAGUCAUCAUCACCUUCUGGGAGUGAUAAGAUUGGAGCAUGAGUCAAAAGAUCUUUUAGAGUUGAGAAAGCUCUUUCUUGGGUUUCACCCCAUUCGAACUUCACUUCUUUCCGUGUAAGACUCGUGAGAGGUACGGCUAUACGAGAAAAGUCUUUAAUGAAUCUCCGGUAAUAUCCCGCGAGACCUAAGAAACUACGAAUUUCGGAAGCAUUACGGGGCACUUCCCAAUUUUGAAUGGCUUCGAUUUUGAUAGGAUCUACGGAUACACCAUCACUAGAAAUAACAUGGCCGAGAAAUUGAACUUGGCGAAGCCAAAAUUCACAUUUCGAGAAUUUAGCAUAUAGUUUCUCCUUUCGAAGAAGUUCCAAUACCGCACGAAUAUGAAUGGCAUGAUCAGCUUCAGACUUGGAAUAGAUUAGAAUAUCAUCAAUGAAUACGAUGACUGAUUUAUCGAGCAUUGGGCGGCAUACCCAAUUCAUCAUAUCCAUGAAUACAACCGGAGCGUUUGUUAAACCAAACGGCAUAACAAGGAAUUCAUAAUGCCCAUAUCGAGUAUGAAAAGCAGUCUUCGGUGCAUCCUGCUCGUGAACUUUCAACUGAUGAUAGCUAGAUCUUAAAUCAUUUGUUGAAAAAUAGCUAACACCCUGAAGUUGAUCGUUCUUGAUAGUCACCUUAUUCAACUCACGAUAAUCAAUGCACAUCCGCAUCGAUCCAUCUUUGUUCUUGAAAAACAGUAUCGGAGCACCCCAGGGAGAGGUACUCGGUCGAAUGAAACCCUUGUCAAGUAGUUCUUGCAGUUGGAUCAUCAUUUCUUUCAUCUCAGCUGGCGCAAUACGAUAAGGAGUCUUUCCAAUUGGAGCAGCACCAGGCACAAGGUCAAUUCGGAAUUCUACUUGCCUAUCCGGAGGAAGGCCAGGCAAGUUAUCGAGGAAAAUAUCAGGAUAUUCGUUAACAACGAGAACAUCAUUUACAAUUUUCUUCUCCUCUUUUGAGACAUCAACUGUGUAGGCCAGAUAGAUAGAACAUCCUUUCGAUAUGAAUUUACGAGCUUUAAGGAAAGAGAUUAUUUUUAAGAGUCUUUGUUCACCGUAGACAUAGAUAGGAUUCUCCCCUUCAAUAGGAAUGCGUACUAUCUUUUCAUAGCACAAGAGUUCUGCGUGGUUCUUUGAUAACCAAUCCAUGCCGAGAAUAAUAUCAAAGUUGGGCAAGGAGAUAGGGAUCAGGUUAGCGAGAAAAGUAUAGCCUUCAAUUUCUAUAACAAAAUACUUAUGGACUUUAUCAACAAGUAAUGAUAUACUUCCCGCAGAAUCUACAUGAAAUGGUUGCGCGAGUACAAAGCAAGCAAUUUGAAAGGCAUGCGCAAAUUCGUAAGACACAAAAGAAUCUGAGGCACCAGAAUCAAAUAAGAUGUGAGUAGGUCUAGAGUUGACAAGAAAUGUACCCGUCACAACUAUCCUCGCGUGCCUCCUCUGAGGUGAUCUGGACUGCACGACCCCUAGCUUUUGGCACCUCCUCCUUUUUAGUUGGAGUACCCUUUGAUUGUUGAACAGGGACUUGGCUUCUCGCUGGUUGUUGAACAGAAGCUUGACUUCCCGUUAUCUGACUAGUAAGAGUAGGGUAAAAACGCUUCUUGUGGCCAGUAAUACCACAUGCAUAGAAAGUAACAUCCUUUCUUGGGAAAGCUGGCUUUAUAUGACCCUUUUCUGCACAUCCAUAACAGACAAUGGAUUCCUUGUCUAUUUUGCAUUGGCCCGGAUGAUUCCAUCCACAAAUACGACAUGAAGGUGAUUGCAUAGAAAAACAUUGUGAUCUACCGCGUCCACGAGAGACACUUUGAGUUUGAACUUGAUUACCAGGUUCAGUCCGAACGGAUUGAGCUGGUAGAAAAGAAGGAACAGGAACAGUGGCACUAUGUAUUUCUAAGUCAUGCUCACGUCUUCAAGCAUAUUCAACGGCUUUAUCGAAUGACAUAACUUCUCAAUUGGCAACAAAAUCGUGGAUCUCAUGUCGUAAUCCCUCCAUGAAUAACUGAAUUUUCUCGUCUUCAGUUGGAAUAUACUGUGUAGCAAACCUUGGUCUUUGAUUAAACUGAGUUUCAUAGUCAUUCAUAGUCAUUCCUCCUUGUUUAAGCUCGAGGAAUUCCUUCUCUAAUCUCCUCCUCAUGUCUAGAGGACAAUACUUCUCUAGCAAAUGAGUUUUAAACAUUUCCGGGCUCAAUNACGAGUUUUAAACAUUUCCCAGGCUAAAUUCUCCUGGUCAAACCCGUUGAGAGCUUCAUAUGUUGCUUCCCACCAGACCAAGGCUUCUCCAAUGAGCAUUGUGGAAGCAUAGUUAGCCUUGUCUUCAUUAUCCACAUGAGAAAUACGAAACACUUUCUCUGUGUUCAGGAUCCAAGUAAGAACAAUAAUUGGAUUGAGAACACCGGAAAACUCUGUAGCACUACUACUCUUGAAAUCUUGGAACGAGGGACACUUCACCUCUCCUUUUGAAGAUUCUCCAGUGGCUUUCUCUUUUCCCUUAUCACCAUUCUUUUUGUGUUCUUCGAGAGUCUGUCGAAUAACACCGGUAAGUUUACUCAAGAGUCGCUCCUCACGAGGAGAUACUGGAGUAUUCACUUCCUCGGGUUGAGGACCUCCACCAACCUCAGGGGUAUGGCUACUAACCUGUUCAUCCAUUGCUCUACAAUAGGGAGUAACAUUGUAUUUUAGAAUAUUAGGUUUUAUUAUUAUCUAAUACUUUUACUUAUAUAUUUCCUAUGGUUUGUAUCCCUAUACUUACAAUGAUUUAGUUCAUAUAUUGAACUUCCAAUAUUUUAAGUCUAAAUACCAAUCCGUGGAAUUUAGUUCACUCAAACUACUACUCUCAUACCAUGAUUAAAAGACCCUAACUUUCGUAUUUAUGAAAGACCCAAACUUUCAUACUCGACAAUAUAGUUACUCCAAAACAUGCUACUUGCAUAUUCAUAAAAACAAUAUUUUACAUUGAUAAAGAGAUUACAAACUACUGGAUACAAACCGACUAUUUUAAAGUGUUAUAUAUUACAUAACUUCCCAGGAUUCUAUAGUUUUAUACAUAUGGGAGUGCAAAAUACAAUAGUUUCAAACUAUUCAUAAGCUUCUAUCGAUACAAUAGUUUCAAACUAUUCAAAAAUCUUCUACCAGUAUAUAACUAUACUGGAUGUUUAUCUCCUGCAAUUUGUUAAACAUCGAGAGGGUAAGCGGUGACGCUUAGUGAGUUCAAUAAUAGAUACAAUAUAACGUUAUGCCAUAUAUAUACUUUAAUAGGGCAGAAGCAAAGAGGAACAAGGAACAACAAGGGCAUAUGUGAAUCAUGUGACAAACAUUCCAUAUCAAUCAUUGAUUUNAGGAACAAGGAACAACAAGGGUAUAUGUGAAUCAUGUGACAAACAUUCCAUAUCAAUCAUUGAUUUGAUUUAAAGAUAUACAAUCAAUGAGACAUAACAAUUUCCAUGCUUGAUAUACAUCAAUAAAGCUUUGGCCCAAACGGCACAGAAGAUAUACAACUUCGGAUUAACAUUUCGGUAGAUUUCAGGCUUAUAGCCCUGUCUAACCUUCUGCCACUACCAUAGAAUAGAAUUCAUUCUCUUACGGAGACAUGUUCUACAUGGCUAGAGGCUACAUACCAGUACCAAUGUGAAUCUAAGUCCUUUCACUAAUCACAUGGUCAAAGGUAUUUCUUUGCUAUUAAAAAUAGCAAAUAAAAAUAACCCGGGAAAAUAACACCGAAAGGCACGUAGCACAUAUAACACAUACCAUACAAUUGUUCCUAUAUAUUAAAAUCACCGUGAAAUAACCGGGGGCUAAAAUAUUAAUUUGGGCAGUACUUCGGCUCUAAAUAUGACUUUCGUUGUUGAAAACCGGGCUCUACGAAGGUAGAGCUUCGAAACCGAAAAGAUAAAUUUUUCAGGCUUCUUGGGAGUCUCGGGGCGUGUUUUGGGCUUUGGAAUCAGUACCGGAGCUUCGGUGGAAGUGGAAGUAGAAGAAAUAUAAGUUUAGGGGUGAAAAGGGGCAAAUUUCAAACAUUUACCCGGGGGGUCUCGCACCCCUUAUAUAGGGCCGAGGUUCGGAUCCGAAGCGAAGGGAAGAGGGUAGGUGGUUGCGAGGCUCGGACCAGAUGGCAGCUUCGGCGAGGCUCGGAUGCGAGGAGUCAUCAGCUUCAGGCGCGUCAUCGGCUGGGUCUUCGGCUCGGAACAGCAGGCUCGCUGACGGCAGCCUCGGAUUGGACCCAACUUNNNNNNNNNNNNNNNNNNNNNNNNNNNNNNNNNNNNNNNNNNNNNNNNNNNNNNNNNNNNNNNNNNNNNNNNNNNNNNNNNNNNNNNNNNNNNNNNNNNNNNNNNNNNNNNNNNNNNNNNNNNNNNNNNNNNNNNNNNNNNNNNNNNNNNNNNNNNNNNNNNNNNNNNNNNNNNNNNNNNNNNNNNNNNNNNNNNNNNNNNNNNNNNNNNNNNNNNNNNNNNNNNNNNNNNNNNNNNNNNNNNNNNNNNNNNNNNNNNNNNNNNNNNNNNNNNNNNNNNNNNNNNNNNNNNNNNNNNAAAAUUAUGCUCUACAACUUUCGUUUAGACUUCGUCGGCUAAUUUUGACUUUAAUUUUUAUAUUAUUAUUUUUAACAGACCGGGACAGGAUAAUCCGUUAAAAAUUCAUAACUUCUUCAUCCGACAUCCGUUUUCGUCAGACUUUUUACCAUUGUACUACAAAUGACGAUACCUUCAAUUAUCGUUUAAGUCGGCUAAAAAUCACUCGAUCUAAAAUUCGAGUUUUUAGCUGUCUACUGCUAAGCUGAAAUUUCGAAAAAUUAUAACUUCCAUUUACAUGAAAGUUGAUUAUUUUCACGAGUUCUACAACUUUCAUUUACAUCACUAGGGCUAAAAACUAGUUUAUCGAAAACUAAAUUUUUACGCGACAAAGUAUUUUUCGGAUUUAUGUGGGAUCUUCGUUUGGUCAUAACUUCUUCGUUAUAACUCGGAUUUCGAUGAGGUUUUCGCCUAAAUGUUUCUAACGAGAUUAUCUACAACUUUCAAUAAUAAAAUUUUACUUAUUCCAAAUUUUAUAUUUUCGCUAUAUUUCACUAUUUGGCUUUUAAUUGGAAUCUCAUAAAACUUCCAACAUUUUAUGAGUGAUUUUAAGCAUAGUUUUAGUUUAUUUCUAGUAAAAACUAUCUGUUAGAACUCAACAUUCAAAUUCACUUAAUAUUUCAAAAUUUUAUUACUUAAAACACGAUUUCAAGAGUGUUCCAGGGCAAGGCAGAGAAAUAUCCGAAGAUGCAAGUUGCACUUGAUAGAGUCAACAACUUUCGGAUGGAUACUGUAUGUGAUUUUGUUAAAAUCGAUGCAGAUAUCUAUCCUGUCAUUGCGAAGAAGCAUGAGUUACCUCCACUUGAUCCAACAUCGAUGCCCUCCGAAGGCUUUGAAGAAAGACCCUUAGGUGCAUCCAACUUCCCUGAACUCGGUGUCAUCUUCAAAAGAAAAACCGAUAAUGUCAAAUAUUUCAUCCCUACCUUUGCUAUUCAUCGUCUAACAAAGAAGCAGCUUGACAUCUAUCGGACCGCAGUUGAAAAGUCUAAAUACACCACUCCGGAAGUAAAAUUUGAAAUUCUAAGGAGGAUCUCUUGGUUAGAAAGUGUAAGGAAGUUUUGGUGGAUUCUAAUCAAGCAUCUUCGUCUUGAUAAGUGAUAGAAGUUAAAGAGGUCACUUAGGGGGAAAUUGUUAGAACACUGAAAGUGACCCUCUUGAACUAUACAGAACCUCAGCCAACUUGCUACCGCAAUGAAAGCAUCUACCGCAGUCAUCCGAAGUCAGAAGACAACAAGCUUUUGAACUUAGUCUUUUUUGUCUUUUCUUUAUGCUUUCUAUUUUCCAGUAUGCCUUGCAUGGCUACAUCUAGAAGUUAUCUUUUGUAAUGCUUGAGUCUCUUUAAAUAGAGCUCACUUGUUCUGAAUAAAAUACACAUCUUCAAGUAUAUUUACUACUUAUCUCUGAAAUCUUCUUCUCUCAUUUUCUCACUAUCAUAUCUGAUCAUAAUCUCUCUUCGGAGCAAGUCCUUGUGACUUCUUCACUAAGUUUGAUCUCUCUUACUAACUUUGGUUUGAAUGCAUUCCAAGUUAUGAAUCAACUUACGUGUAUUCUUGAUAUAACAAUUGCUGUCAUUUACAUUACUUUACUUUCCGCAUCUAACUCACUAACUCCUAACUAUUAAUAUUAUUGUUGAGCUAACAAAUCCUUCGAGAUUAACUAUUACGCUAUAUACUUGUUCUAACCAUUUUUGUUCAAGUGUAUCUCAAAGUUCUUCUCUCAACAAUAAUGUACCUCAAACUUCUCAAAACCUUCACCAAAACAAAAAAUUCAAAGGUUAUGGAGAGUAAGAAUGUCCCUAGACUUACCAUAACACGUCAUUUUGAAAUAUUCUACAAUAAAAUCCCGAUAUUGGAGUUCAAUAAUUUCAUCCUCUAGAUGAGCUUUCGAUUUGCCAACUACCUCUGCAGGCCCCUUAACCACACUCACAUACAAAGUAGAAUUUUUAUUAUUCAUAAUAUUGGACUUAACUGAAGAGUUCAUCAUCCUGUUAAUGCCCCUAGGAAACCUUAGGAAAGUAGCAUAAAAUUUGUAAUAUCCAAACCAAGUAUCAUUAAGAUUUUCAAUGAUAGAAUUAAUAUCUCAAACCUUAAUGAAUCUAGUGACACCAAAAUGUUUCCCUAUACUUACCAAUUUAGACGAAAUAAAGACAUCAACAACAUGACUAGUUCUAGCACACACCUUCCAAAUAUCAUUGGGAGCAAUAGAAUUUGGGAAUUAGUUACAUAAAUAGAAUUAGCCUUGGAACUUGCAUGCUUCGAACCAUUCUUUAUAGCCCUAUCAGGAUCAAAAUUUCCAUUCAUCGAAUGCUUCUUACGGCUAACCCUUGCCGAUGACUCCUCUGUAUUCCCUCUCGAAUCCGUCUUCCAACACUAUUUAUAUAACCAACCUCCUGAACCCCUUACCCCACAGAGGACAAAACACCAAUAAUGGGACGAUGUCACAUAAUCACCAAUCACCAAAGGGUAGGGUUUUUGUUUUUCUAAAUUUGUAGUUCUUUAUAAGAAUUUAACAAAGACAAAGAUUAUAUAUAUUACAUCAGAAAUGGUGUUUAAACAAAGAUCAAAUUCAAGAUCAUUAUAAUUUUUUAAGAAUUUAACAAAAACAUUUCUUUACCUUGUAUAGUGUAUACUAACAAAUAAUGAUGAAACUUAAACUAGACUUAUAUAAGUUCAAGCUCACUUACUGUUUUCCAAGCUAGAGGUAGAACUCAUGUUGGAUUAGGUGUCUAAGCCUAUAACUAUAAUUGUUAUAAACUUGAAUUGAUGGUAGCAUAGUCCUUUUGGGUUGCCUUCAAGCCUGGCAAUUGAAUAGGAUAACUUUUAAGAGAGAAAAUAAUGAUUUAUUAAUUUAUUACUUGGUUAAUUAAUUAAUUAGAAAUCAAAAUAAAUGAUUUAUUAAUGUAUUAUGGAAAUAAUAUAUUGAAUAUAAAUCAUAUUUUUUAAUUAAUAUUUAAUCGUAAACUGAUUUGGAAUUAAUUUUGGGGUUAAAGGAAUAAAUUAAAAAUGCGUGGACUAAAAGUUACAAUAUUCAAUAGUUGAGCAUUGGGCAAAUCUAGAAUCUCCCUAAAGAGGAGGGAACGAAAUCUAGAGUAUCUCUAGUGUUUCCUUGGGCUCUAAGGUUGCUUUGGAUGCCUUAGGGAGGAAGUUAAGGUACUAGGUUAUAUUGGAGAUACUUGCCUUACCUAAUACCUUCCUAACACCUAUAUAAACCCUCCUUAGGGUUGGAUUUCGUCUAACCCUUCUUUCUAAGUUCCUUGUACGAAAUCUUGACUUCGUCCCUCUCUUUCUAUAGUUUUCCUUGGUUGCGAGGGUUUUUUUGUGAACCAUUAGAGGCGCGACACUUGUGACGCUUGCUACCAAAGGUUUUUCAAGCUUGGAUUAAGAUUGUUAUUACCAUAUAACAAUCAAAGGUAUGUCUACUAUCUCUUAAUAUGAAUUUCAAAAAUAGUAGGUAAUUCCUAGGGUUUUCCUUUUGAUAUUCAAUACUUGUAUGUUCAAUUAGAGAAACCAUAUAUCAAAGAAAAUUAGGGUUACAUGCACACAUCAGAGAGUUUGUUAUGCUUAAAACCCACCAUUGGUAUUAAAGACUAGGAUUUGUUUUCUAUUGAAUUUUAUACAAUUGGUUGAAUUUGACUAGUAAGGAUGUAUGGCAAGUAAACCCUUGGGGCUUGGAAUUUUCGCAAUUAGGGUUUCUAAAACCCUAGAUUUCAAAAUCUUUGGAAAGGGUUUUAACCCUUUCCCCCGUCCCUCAAGAUUCGAAAAUUAGGGUUUCCUAACCCUAUCUAUUUUCGAUUUUAUGGCAAAGAUUGAAAUCCUUGCCUUCCUCCCCAAGAUUUACAAAUUUUUGGAAAUUAGGGUUUUAGUGGGAUUUCUUAUCUUUGGCAAUUAUAUUCUAAUUUGAUUAACUAGAUAAUUGCAAAAAGUUUUUGAUCCUUUCUUUAUUUUCGAAAAUUGCUAGAUAUGAUAGUGAUUUCUUAGUUUUGGUGAUUAUCUUCUUACUUGGUUAACUAGAUAACUGCAAGAAUUGAUGGACCCCUCCCGUAUUUUCGAAAUUAAUUAGGUGAGUGGAUUAGGUUAAAUUAUUUUGAUUAAUUUUACGGAUAAUCCUUAAUUAUUUUAAUAAAUUAAUUAAAUGUUAAUUAAUACAUACUUAUUAAAUCAAAUUCUUUUAAAUUUAAAUUAAAAUGUUUUAAUUUUUUAAAUUUAAAAGAUUAUUUAAAACCCUACUAUUUUGAAAAGUUUAAAAUACAUCCUUAUGAAUUUUAUUAUUAACUUAAUUAAGUGAUUAAUUAAAAGAUAAUUAAUAAAUCCAGAAAUUGUUUUAAAUUUAAUCAAAUUAAUAGUUUAAUUUAUUAAAGGAUUAAACUCUUGAUAUUAUAAAAUGUUUUAAAGUACAACUUAUGCUAUGUAUAUAAUUAAAAGCUUAAUAUAUAUUAUAUGUAUAAGGAAAGUCAGUCAAACUGCUAGUAGGCCUUAUUCACAAAGCCAUACUAUAGGGGGAGUUUAAGGAAGCGGCCUAUAAAAUGACCGCCAUUGGGUAUCCAUUCUUACUAACCACUCUCUUGUAUGGUGGAGGGUCGUUAGCCGAAUGGGUUUGAUAGGACAUAACCUCAUUAAAAGUAUAAUGACAUAAAGUAACUAAACUAUUUUCUAAAAUCCCAUUCUUAGUUACCUUAGAAAAAAAUGUGAAUUUGAUGCUAACACAUGAAAUUGCACAUUGCAACUUAUUAGUCGUUAAUGGAGUGUGUGUGGUUAACUGGCACACUAAUAUGGGACUAAUAUUGUUGGUAAUGAAUGUCUCAUAAAUUAUCGUUGAUUAAUGGAGCGUGUGUGUCUAACCGACACGUUAGUUAGAUAAUAAAUGACUUCGUGAGUACGAAGCUAAUUUUCAUGGUUAUUCACAUCUUGUUUGUGAUUGAAAUUAGUAGUUAUAUUUCCACUAUUAGCAAUGUUAAAAGUGGAUUUGAUUCUUAAUUAUACUGUUUGUGGAAAUUUCAUAAUCAACCAAGUGAAAAGGAAAUCUCAUCACCCAAUUUUCAAUUGGAUAGAAACUUGGAGUCAUACAAAUUAAAUUGUUUGAUGUAUGAAAAUCUUGAUCAUUGGAAAGUUAUCACUAAUUCGUUGAUCACAUGUGUAUGUGAGUCAAGUGAAGGACUAAAGGAUGUAGUACACAUUGAUGUGGACUAUUCAGAUCCACCAUAAAGGAUGAUAACUUUAUUCGUCAUGAUUUGCUGAUGCUUUUAGUAAAUAUAUUUGUGUUUAUAAGAUUAAGCAUAAUUCUAACACUUUGAGAAGUUCUCAAAGAUUAGUAGAACGAAUAAGAGGAAUUUGUUAGGUAGAAAGAUAAAAGUUUCUCCAAUCUAAAAGGAAUGGAGAGUACAUACUUUAGUAUCAUGUUUUAUUAUUGUCUUAAUGGUUAUGGAACUAAACCACAAUUGAUCCUCGAAGGUCAUCUUAGUGUAAUUGUUUGACUAAGAAGAGGAAUUUGAUAUUGUGGAAAAGGUUCAAUCAAGAUAUGAGUCAUACUCCGUUUCCAAUCAAAAUUUCAGAGUCAUACUCUAGUAAUUACAAAUUGUAUCUUGAAACUUGUUUUGUACUAAUUAGGUUUAUAACACCUCAUGAAAUGGGGAGUAAUUAUAUUUUCUUACUCUACCACAUUUAGAAUUGGUAGUUAUGAUGUUUUGGUUAAAACAAAGGAUAAGCUAAGACUAAUUUUGUGAAGUGUUUUCUUGUCAGGAAUCCAUACUAACUUUUGAAUAUGUGUUUGUUGCUCAUCAAGGAUUGUUCCUUGAGAUAGAAACUUAAAUGUCAAGAUGUCAGUGGGAGUCUUCUUAAUCUUGAAGAGUUUCAGGAGUCAAUUAAGAAUAAACCUUUUAGUAAUCACUAGCACAUGACCUGAGGUUGAUAACCUAUCAUGUUAAUUUGAAACAUUCUUGUUUCUGUGGAUCUUCCAGUUGAGUUGCAAUGCUUAUGAGUUCUAUGUUUCUCAUUUGACUGCAAAAGGCAGAGUACAUUGGUCAGUGAUAAUACAUAGAUCAAUAUGGGUGAACUGCUUAACAACUUGGAGGCUAUUGUGCUACUAGAAGGCAAGAAAUUAAGAGUAUUGUCUUAUGAUUGUAGAUUGGAAUUGAUAAAUUCACAUGGAUAGGAACGCAUACACCAUAAAAUCUAGGUGGUAAAAGGUUUCGACCAAAUUCAUGAAAAUGAUUAUGAGGAAACACUUUCUCUAGCAGAUUUAAAAUCUGGUUAAUAUCAUUAUGGUUAGCAGUUGUAAUAAUUGCGUUCUCAAAUUCGCAUAUGAUUACAACAUCCCUUUUGAUAGUUGGAAGUGUGAGAAAUGGCUAGAAAUAGUUUAAAUGUUCAGGACUUAUAGCUAUAAGUUCUAAACGGGUUUAAACACACACAUAUGCUAUCUAGCGAAGGUUUAUAAGCUUGAGAAGUCUAGAUUGAGACUUAUCGAAGCAUCAUAAAUUUGUACUUCAGUAAAAAAGUUAAGAGUAUUGAUUUCUAGAAGCCCAGAUGAUUUCUGGGUAUAUGUCAAAGCUAGUGGGAGCAUAGUUGUUAUGCAAAUGAAAGCAUAAUUGUUAUGCUAAUGGGAGCAUAAUUUGUAUGCUAAGUAAUGCAGGUUAGCAAUACUAUUUGUAGGAAAUAAAGAUUUCAAAAUUGUAAAUUGCAAAAUUUGGGAAUUGUUUCGCUACAAAAAGAUUUAAGGGAGAAGCCACUUAUACUUCAUUUCAAUUCUAAAAGUUUAGAUUGAAAGGUUGAAAGAACUUAAUCAUGGACAUAUAUGAAUAUCGUGUUGAAAUGAUUCAACAUUGGAAAUUCAAUAUAUGGAAAUAUUAUAGCAAGAGACUGAUCAAAUAUCAUGUCCUUAUGUAAGACAUUAUGUAUCGAAUCCCAUGUGCUUCAGAUAUAGGAUUGAUUACAUAUGCUAUAAUAAUUACUUGUUCGGAUUUUCCAAAUGCCUAAGGCAUUAAGAGGGGAAAAGACUAGAACUUGGUAUGACUAAAGUUUUUAAACAACUGUCCAGAACAUUAUGAGGUUAUACCAAAGGAUUGGUUGUUUCUAGACAAUUGGAAGUAUAGUAUUGGUUGGAAGGACCAUAUUGACAUAAUUUUCAGUGGAGGUGAUUCUUAUUCAGAAUUUGUAGUCACAUGGGAAUAUGUAAGUGUUUCCAUAGUGGGAGUUGUUUAUUGAAAUCUACAUGUGAUUUAGACAUUUUAAUGCAAGGAAGAUGUUUAAGGAGUGUAUUGGGAAUUUGAGACUUCAUUACCAUGAAAUUGUUUUAGUAACAAAGUUUCAAUGGAACAUUUUUUCUAAUAUCAUUGGCAAAGUCUCUAUGAAUUUUGUAGUGACAUAAGAACAUGGUUUGGCAUGCGGAAUUAAAGCUUGCACAAUUGAACAUAGUGAUUUGGGUGAUCAAGAGAUGUAUUGAUUGUAUAUGGUGUUACAAAAACGAUCUAGAUCUAGACUACAUAAAUAACACACACUUACACACUCACUUUUACAUCUCUCAAGCACACCUCUACAAGUGGUAUGAACGCACUAUUUAUAGAGGUGUUUACAUGUCUCUCUCUCACUCUAACAAACAAAUGGGUCUAAAGGCUAAAGCACCACAUGCAAGUGGGUUUUACAAAAGUCAAACAUUUACAAAGUCAUGAAUGAAUAACUUUGCACCCCAACAUUCUCCCCCUCAAAGUUAGAAAUGAAUGACCCACUUCAAAUCUUCCAAAAUCAAGCACUACGCGGUUCGAGCCUCAAAGGUGACAUAUGUCGAAACGAACUUCAAUCUUCAAUUCUUCCAUGACUCUUCAAUUUGGGCUCUAGGAUGUGGGACCAUACAAACCGAGCAUCAACGAAUGAUCAAGAGUAUUCCAAACUCCAAAUAAUCACCCAAAGUUGCACAUAAAAAUACACCUAAAAAAUCAUCAAUAAUUCCAAACCCAUUUCGAAUACAUCACUUCCGAACUUCCAAUUGCAUCAUCUCGUAGCUUCAAAACUUCAAGAUCAUUUCGGUCUUCAAAUCCGCUUAAUAUGAAAAAUUCAAGUUCGAAUUUGCAUAAAAACUUCUCCCCCUUUUUAUAAUCGAAAUUUGAUUAUAAAACUCCAAGGAAAAAGAAUGUGCUUUAUUUGGAAUUUUUCAUGUCAAAACUCCCCCUUAACAUGUGGCAUAAACUUUGUGCUUCAAUCCGGAAAACCCAAAAAAUAUUCAAUUUGUAUUGUCGUUCACGGAUUGCCUUUGACAAAAUUUCUCAAAAAUGGGUAGAAAUUGUCAAUUUCAAAAUUCUGCAGUGACCCGUUGCGUCAAAAACAGCCAAAUAUGCGAAACACACUCCUAUUUGCGAAACUGGGUAGAAUGUGUAAAUUCGCACAAACUGUAUGGACGAGAUUUGAAAAUAUUCCAAUUUCUCAAAAUUUUUACCCCAAAUGCGAAACUGGGUAAAAUUUGCCAUCUUGCAAAAACUACAGGGAUGCGAAAUGAAAAUUCUGCAUUUUUGUCAUUUUAUAACACCAUUUUGCGAAGUUGGACCAUUUGUAUUAUUCCGUGAAAAGAUCAGGGGUCAAAUGCGAAACUAUUUGUUUUCUUCUUCAUUGAACGAUUAUAACAGGGAAUGCUUCACAUUUUCAUUCUCACAUUCCUUCGCAUCUUGUAUCCAUCUAAACAAAUGCGAACUGUUAAUCACCUUCGCAUUUUUAAUUCAAUUAACCAAAUGCGAAAUUAGUUUUGAAACCCAGAUGCGAACUCAACUUUGAGUCACUCAUAUGCGAACUGUUCUUGAUCUCAAAUGCGAAUAUCACCAUUACAUAACAAAAUGCGAACCGUAUCACAACCUUAUGUGGGAACCCAGUUUUGAUCUUUAAAUUGAUUCACCAAAUGUGAAGUGAAUAACAACUGUAAUGACCUUCGCAUCCUUCGUAUACCCAUUCAAAUUUUCGUUCUUUUGCAAACAUUGAUUUCCCAUUUGAUUAUCUGCAAAUAUUUUUCAUAGCUUCGUUCCAUCAACAAUCGAAAUCAUCUUCCCAUAUGAACAAUCAGAUCUUGAUUUCAAACCAACAAACCAAAUGCAAAUCCAAAAUCAAAACUCAUCUGUUCGUUCAUUACUUCAAUCGAUAUCCUAUUAAUCAGCAAAAAUCAAGCUUACGAACUCACAAAAUGAAACGAAUCAACAAACCAAACUCGAUUUCAAUUAUUAGUUCGAACUGUUCAUCAUCAAUCGUCUUUUGACUUUGGAAAGUCAAUCCAACUAUCGUUUCUAAAAUUAACCUUCAGAUUUCAUUCACAAUCAUCCUCAAGAUAUCAAAUAACCUGAUACACACAUCGAAGUCAUUCGAUUCCAAUUUAAUUGCUUGGUGAUUUCCAUUCAAUAACCAUUUUAAUUCAACCUGAUGUCGAACAAAUUUAACCCCAAGAACUAGUAACACGAUCGAACAUCGACUCCAAGAUAUGUUGAAAUCAAAAUCAUUAAAAGACUAUAAUCUAAAAGUGAAAUCACCGAUCGACUUCAAACAUCAUUCAAUAAACGAUCUUUUGAACAAAUUCGUAUAUUUGAUUCACAGUGAGAGAAUACGGGUCACGAUAAUUGAUGUGAACAAAAGGAUAUCAAUUGAAACUCGAUUCACAAGAUUUAUAUCCUCAAUCACAUCCAAAUCGAAACAAAAAUUGAUGAAAUAAGAACGAGAUCUUUGGAAAAAAAAAUCGAUGAAAAGAUGAAUACGAUUGAAUACAGAAGUAUUGAAUCUAUUUGAUGAUGGAUGCAAAUCAGUAAUGCAUCAUUUAUUUGGGCUUAAACAAAUCAUGAACAGUAGUAUUGAGACUUUGGAUCACGGAAGAUGAACAGUAACACUCAAAUGUUGGGCUCAAUUUAAACGAAUCAUGAACAGUAAAUUUUAUUUUGUUUUUGUUUUGACUUUGAUCUAAACAAAAAUUGAUUGGAUCAACAAUGAGGUUUGAAACGAAUUAGAUCUACUGAAUCAAAAUGAUCAAAAAUCAAGAACGCAAAGCACGAAUCCAAAUAUUACGAGAGAUCAUAGAGAGAGACUCACCAAAAUUGAUCAAAUUGCGACAAAAAUUUGCCAAACCGAGAAUCGUUCUUCAAAAAUCACCUUGAUCUUGAAGACCCGCUCUGAUACCAAUUGUAGUGACAUAAGAACAUGGUUUGGCAUGCGGAAUUAAAGCUUGCACAAUUGAACAUGGUGAUUUGGGUGAUCAAGAGAUGUAUUGAUUGUAUAUGGUGUUACAAAAACGAUCUAUAUCUAGACUACAUAAAUAACACAUACUUACACACUCACUUUUACAUCUCUCAAGCACACCUCUACAAGUGGUAUGAACCCACUAUUUAUAGAGGUGUUUACAUGUCUCUCUCUCACUCUAACAAACAAAUGGGUCUAAAGGCUAAAGCACCACAUGCAAGUGGGUUUCACAAAAUUCAAACAUUUACAAAUCAUGAAUGAAUAACUUUGCACCCCAACAAAUUUGUAGCCACGACAUCACAAAAGGAUAUUGCAUAUAAUGUUGAAUUCUAACACAUUUAGUAGCAACAAGAGUUUGAAAUUGUGAAAUGAGCAUCAUUGGAAUUGGAAUAAUGUCCAAUUGAUAUAUUCACAAAGGAAGGACCAUAGAGAGACAUGUUAUGCAUGUUUAUAACAUGGCAUGACUAAUGUUUAAUUCAGGUGUUUUAGUUGAUUACUCAAAACAUUAUACAAUGAAUAAAGUCUAAUUAAUAUGGAGAUUAAAUAAUAAGAGUUUUAUUUAUAUUCAAUACUUUUGAGAUCAUAGUUACUUAGGUUACUCUUAUGUUUCAUUUCGCAUGUUUUACUUCCUGAAUAAUUGGACUAUUCAAACAUCCAUAGUCGAUCAUACUUUUGGAAGUAAGUAGCGAAUUUAGACUGCCAUGAAUUGAAUUGUAGAUUGUCUAUGGAGAUUAGACAGAGCAAUAGUUUUGCUGCAAUGCUAAUGAGUACUUGAAAAUGGGGAUUUUAAGUAUUGGAUAAACUCAUGCUCAAAUAUUUACUUCAUGGAUUUUAUUUCAAGUAAUUUUGAGACGAUAAAUCUUAUAUUCUUAAAAUGUGUAUAUAUGAGUUCUUGUUUACAAGUCAUUUUUGCAUUGAUAAUACGUAAACGCAUCAAUAACUUGAUGUUAUAAAACGUAUUGUUAUGCGUGAUUUUGAUGAGUAAAUAGUGCAAGCAAAUAAGUCGAAUUUUAUCCGAUCCUUUUGCCCUAACAGGAAAAGUGAUAUAUGUGGGCCCCUUAAUGAUUUGACGAUGACAUCUAAAGAGCUUAGCCAAGCCUGGAUUGAAUUGAUGUAUUCAAUUAGUAUUCUGAUUUCAGUCGUUAGAAAUCAAAAAUCAGGAAACAAAUCUUAGACAUAGAGAUUGAUUAUAAUCCAGGUCUCAUGUCCAUAUAAUAUCUUGUACAACGGAGGGAUAUUUGAUCACUUAUCUUAGGAGAUGUUACUGACUGAGUCAGAUUUCAACAUUGGCUUUUCGUAGCUACAAUUUUCUAUUGAAUUCAGUAGUUAUGCUGGCAAUUAGAGUUAUUACACUUAUCCAAGUGGAAGACUGUUGGAUUAGGUGUCUAAGCCCAUAACUAUAAUUUGUAUAAACUUGAAUUGAUGGUAGCACAGUCCUUUUGGGUUUCCUUCAAAGCUGGCAAUUAAAUAGGAUAACUUUUAUGAGAGCGAAGAAUGAUUUAUUAAUUUAUUACUUGAUUAAUAAAUUAAUUAGAAAUCAAAAUAACUAAUUUACUAAUGUGUUAUGGAAAUAAUAUAUUAAUUAGAAAUCAUAUUUUUAAAUUAAUAAUUAAUCAGAAAUUAAUUUGGAAUUAAUAUUGGGGUUAAAGGAAUUAAUUAAAAGUGCAUGGACUAAUGGUGAGAAUGUUCAAUAGUUGAGCUUUGGGCAAAUCUAGAACCUCCUUAAAUAAGGGGGGAACUAAAUCUAGAGUAUCUCUAGCGUUUCCUUGGGCACUAAGGGUUCCUUAGGGAGGAAGUUAAGGGAUUAGGGUUAUCUCGGAGAUACCUGCCUUAUCCAAUACCUUCCUAACACCUAUGUAAACCCUCCUUAGGGUUGGAUUUCGUCUAAGCCUUCUUGCUAAGUGCCUUGGACGAAAUCUUGACGUCUUCCUUUUCUUUCUGUAGUUUUCCUUGGUUACUAGGGUUUGUUUGUGAAUCUUUAAAGGAGCAACACUUGUGGCUCUUGCUACCAAAGGGUUUUCAAGCUUGGAUUAAUAUUGUUAUUAUUACACAAAAAUCAAAGGUAUGUCUACUAUCCCUUAAUUUGAAUUUGGAAAACAGUAGGUAAUUCCUAGGGUUUUCCUUUUGAUGAUUAUUUAGAGAAAACAUAGAUCAAAGAAAAUUAGGGUUGCGUGCACACAAAGGAUUGUUUUUUAUGCUCAAAAUCCAUCAACAGAUUCAUACCUUAAAUUUAAAUCAACUACAAGCCUAGUGUAAGCCCCAUCUUUUUUAAAAUUGAAUCUAUUAUGUUAUGUUUCCGAAUUCAACAUAACGGAUGAAUUUAAAUGAAGGAAAAUAAAUGAAGGUAAAAAAAAUGAAAAAUGAAGCUCUUGAGUUUUUUUUAAUAACACGAAUUGAUAGGAAGUUGAAGAAUAAUUUACCUCAUAAUUUUCCUUCCAAUUUGGAAGGAUUUGGAGAGAAAGGAAGAAAAUAUUUAUUUUCCUUUCACUUCUCUCUAACUCGGGAACACAAAAUACAAUUUUCUUUCUCUUCUUUUCUCUCAUUAUUUUCUUUACCUUUUCUCUCAUUAUUUUCUUUACCUUUCAACAAUGGGGUUUGAGAUGCGUUAUCAAGAAGAAAAAACUUUUACAAGGCGCUAGGGGUGGGUUAAUUCACAUUUAUUGCUUGAUCUCCAUAUGUGCUACUGAGAUCCCAAAGUAUCCAUGAGAUUUCAAAAUGUACUCCUAACAUACCCAAAUGCGCUCAUAUGCUUCUAAAUGUACUCCAUAGCUUCCAAAUGUGCUCCUAGGGUUCCUAAAUGAGCUUAUAUUCUUCUAAAUUUGCUCCAUAGGGUCUAAAAGUGCUCUUGAAAAUCCAAAUGCUCUCCAUGACUUGUACUUAUAAUGAGUAAGGGAGAUGGUCAUAUCUUCAUCAGUUUCAUGAAUUUCAAGUUCUUAUAACUGUUGGGUUUUGGUAUAAUACAACAUCCUAUGGUGCACAUACAACCCUAAAUACCUUGGAUCUAUGUUUUCACUAAUUAUACAUGCAAAUGGUUUCCAAGGCAUUAAACCUAUAACUAGCAUGCAUUUGACAUAAACCAUAUAAUAUAAUAGUUAGGGAAACAUACGUUUUAUGCGGCUUGAAGUCUUGAUGUAUUUGGCCUUAAGAGCUUAGCACCAAUAGUAUGAAAUGCCUCAAAUGGAAUCACAACACACCUAGGACAAAGGUGGCUCUUGAGAGAUAAUUCCAUGCACCAAAACACCUCCAUAUUUCUCUAAGAAAAGAAGUGGUGAUUUUGGCUAUGGAGUAACCUAUUUAUAUGUAGGAUUCCAAGGGUCAUGGGUGUAACCCAGAAUCCAUACCCACGGGUUUUAUGAUCCAUGGUUCAUGUGGCCCAACUCUUUAUGUAUCCAUACAUAAACUUGGUCCAACAUGGGUCAUAAGCCCAACACAUAUAAAUAUAACUAAUUAUCAUAAUUAGUCCCCAUAGAUUUAAUUUGUCUCUUUUGAUCACUAUAUUAAUUCCAAAUUAAUUCUUGAUCGAUACUAAUUAAAACAAAUGAUUUCAUAUUAAUAUAUUAUAACUUAUAAUAUAUUAAUAAACCAUAAAUAACCUUUUCUCAAAAGUCCAUCCUAACAAAUUGUCCUGAUGAUAUGCAACCCAAAUGGACCAUGCUACUCUCGGGUCAAGUACAUACCAAUAAUAGUUAUGGGCUUAGACAUCUAAUCCAACANNNNNNNNNNNNNNNNNNNNNNNNNNNNNNNNNNNNNNNNNNNNNNNNNNNNNNNNNNNNNNNNNNNNNNNNNNNNNNNNNNNNNNNNNNUGACUUGUCCAUUAGAUAAGGGAUCAUAUAUUCCUCCAUUCUAGAUAUCAUAUGGACUGAGACAUGGAUUAUAAUCAUUCUCUCUGUCCAUUUGUUGUUUCCCGAUUUCCGAUUUAUGACGACUGACUAAUUGAACAAAUCAAAUCAGUCCUGGCCCGGCCGAGCACUUCCAUUUGUCAUCAUCAAAUCAUCGAGGGGCCCACAGAUAUCGCUUUUAUCCCGAAGGUAAAAGGAAUGGAUAAACUUCGACUCAUAUGGCUUGUUCUACUACUUGUUGAAUCAUACACAAAGGCACAUUUUAUAACAUCGAGUUACCAAUGCGUUUUCAUGUAAUCAAUGUAUAACCAACUCAUAGUAACAACUCAUAUCUCUAGGUUUGAAGAAUAUAAGAUAUUAUCGUCUCAUGAUCACUCGUGAUAAAAUCCAUGAAGUGAUUCCAAUGAGCGCGGGUUGAAUCCAAUACUCAGAACUUAUGAGUACUCAUGAGUGUUGUAGCACCACCUUGUCCAACAUCUUAGACCUCUACAAACCCAACCCAUGACAGUCUUGAUUAAUAUCUACCUCCAACAUAUGACCGAGAUGGUUUGAAUAACUUAGCCAAUCAAAAGAAUGACCUAGUUAUUCUAUAAGUUAGAACAUGCUAAGUGAAACACAAUAAUGAUCGAAUCCAAUAUGGUCUCAGAACUUAUGAAUAUAAAUAAAACACAAUUUAUUUAUCAGCAUAUGAUUACACAUUAUUCAUUGUAUACUGUUUUAGCUAUCAACUUUAUUCUUGAAUUUAAAACAAUAGUUGUCCCAUGCUCCAAGCAUGUACACUAUGUUUUCUUAACACUAGUCAUGCCAUACACCAAGUAUGCAUACUAUGUUUGUCUAUGAUCUUUACUUUGUGAAAUAGAUCAAUUGAACAUAACUCCAAUGAUUCUCAUUUCACAGUCCCAAUCCUUACUGCAAAUGCAAGAAUUCCAAAUUCAUGCAAUUUACUGAAAUCUGUUAGAUUCUAAACUUAUAUGCAUUGAUCCUCUUGUAAUGAUUAUGCACAAAUUCACAAGGACUUGGCAACAAUCAUUAAAGAGUAUUUCAAAGGAGAUCAACUCCUUAGAAACAUCUUUCUUGUAUUAGGUUUCCAAAUCAUACAGAUUCAAUACUUUCUAACUUUGAAGCAUUUCUAUAUUCCAUUUUGACUAUCACUUCUGAACAAGAGUUGCCUCCUUACAGAUUAUGUCAAUAUGGUCCUUCCAGAAUUAUCACUAUACUUCCAACUGUCCUUGAGCAACCAAUCUUUGGUAAACCUUAGAUUGUCCUCGACAAUUGUUUAAUCCUUUUAGUCAUAUCCAGUUCUAAACCUUUUCCCUUCUUAAUGCCCCAGGCAUUUGGAAAAUUUUAGAACGGAUGAAUAUAGCACAUGUAAUCGAUCCUAUAUCCGAAGCAUAUGGGACACGAUUCAUGAUGUCUCACAUAAAGACUAAACCAGUCUUUUGCUAUAAUAUUUCCAUUUCUAUUUGCCAAGUUCUCAUAAUUCAGAUUAUGAAAAGGGAUGUCGUAAUCAUAAUCGAAUUUUAGAACGCAAAUAAUGAACCCAUAUAUAGAAUUUCCUUAUGUUGAGCCAUCCCAACAUAAAAUUCAUAUAUAUAUAUUCUUGACUAAAUACGAUUAAGACCUCAAUCUAAGCUUUUAGAUUUGAGAUGAAGUAUAAUUUCCUCUCCCUUAAUUAUAGCAAAACAAAUUUUUCAAGAUCUUUUAGACUCCCACUAUCUCCUUGACAUAUAUAACUUGCAAUACUUAUCAUAAUUAUCAUGCUCCCACUAACAUGAUGAUUAUUAGCAUAACACUUAUGCUCCCACUAGCUUUGACAUGUACUCAGAAAUCAGCUGNUCUUGAUUACUUCUUGAAACCUUUUUCAGGAUCUUUUAGACUCCCACUGUCUCCUUGACCUAUACGACUUUCUUGCCAAAUAUUCAAGAGAUAGUGUGGAUUCUAAUCAAGACAGACACUUAACACAAUUAGCCUUAGUUGGUCUUUGUUUUAUCCAAAACAUCACAACUUACCAAUUUCAAAUGUACAAGAGUAGAAAACUUUUACUCUUACAUUUGACAAGUGUUUUAAACCUUCUUUAAGACAUGUCACUCAAGUUACAAUCUUAGAGUAUAACUCUAUGAAUUGUUUUGGAAUGAAGUAUGAAUCAUCUUCUUGAUUUAACCACUUCAACAAUUCAUAACUCCUCUUCUUAACUAUCAGAAUGUACUUAGAGGAUGAAUUGUGAUAAGGUCUCAAAAUCAUUAAGAUGACCUUAAAACAUGAUACUAAAGUACUCUCCCAUCUUUUCAUAUUUGAGAAACUUUUAUCCUUCUGCCUAAUUUGAUUCUUCUUAUUCGUUCUGUCAUACAUUGAAAAUUUUCCAAUGUUUCAGAAUUAUACUUAAGCUUGUAAGUAUAAUCAUAUUUACUAAACCUUAGUAAAUCAUGACGAAUAGUCUUAUCCAUCUUUUGUGGUGGACUUUGACAAGUGCACAAGAAAGUGUACUUGAUCCCUUAGUCCUUCUCUUGACUCACACAUCCAUGUGAACAAGUAGUUAGUCUUAAUUUUUCCAAUGCUCGAAAGUUCUCAUUCAUCAUACUAUACAACUUGCAUGAUUCCAAGUUUCUGUCCAAUUGAAACUUGGGUGAUGAGAAUCUUUCUUUAUUUUGUAAAUUUAAACACUACCACAAAUGAACGAAUCAAAUUCAUAUUUCCAAUAUUGCUAUAAACAUACAAACAUCAAGUUUUCAUGAAUUCCAUUGUAAGGAGAUACUUUUAUUUAUUUUAAAAUGCAGAAAUUUUUUUUCCUUACAAUGUAACUUGAAAUGAAAACUAUGUUAUUACUUGUUUCCUAGCAAUCUAUCAUAACUCCUAAGAGUAGCUCAAGAAUCCAAUCUUCAAUCAAGCGAUAGAAAUCCAUCUUCGCGAUCAGAUUCAACAUACUCUUUCUUUAAGUUUCCUUCACUUUUCCUUUGAUUCUUAAACAUCAACAAGUGACCCAGUCACAUAUUGUAAUAAGAAACUCAUAAUAGAUACUUAACCGAGUUAGAUAUUGGACCUUACCUGAAAUAGAGUCAAACUUUUUGACUAUACUAGCCUUAUGAUCUUUCAGGUAAAAUUGACAGCUUCGCAACAAAUGCCCUUUCCUUUUGGCAAUAGGACCAUAUGGACCCUUAGGUAAUAGUACAUGGGGCUAUCUUAGACUUAGCCUUUCUCUUUACCAUUUGGUCAACCAAGUUGACUAUGGCCGAUCCAUUUCCAUUGGGAAGAGAAUGCUUUUCUGGAUUUCCUGUGUCACUAUUGUCCCUAUCCAUAAAGCUUUGGGAAGUUGAUCUCCUAAUCAAAUUUGCUUUACUAGUACACUAAAUCAUUUCUGAUUUAGUAGCACCAACCAAAUAGAUAAGAUCAUUAAGGGUCUUGUCAUAGUUUUUCAAUGGAGUCCCAAGGAACUCACUAUGUGACUUAGAAAGUGAUUGAACCACUAACUUUCUUAAGACUUUGACACCCAACUCUCCCGGCUUGUUAGUAUGUGACUUCAUCUCCAAGAUGUGAUCACACCUAGACCUUGCCUUGCCAAUAGGGCUUGAGUGACCUUGAACUUGUGGGUUAGGGAGAAUAAUUGGAGGAGGUGGAGGAAGUGAAGUUCCAAGAUAUUUGGGAAGAUCAUAGAUGUCUGAACUAGACAUCUUUUGGGAGAUAUUCAAGAUAGUUGAUUUAAAUUCCUUAAUAUAACACCCAAUAUGAAAUAUUAAGGCUAGUACCCAACAAACUAUUUUAUAACUUGGAAGAGGGAUGCCGUAAUCCAAGCUAUAGAAUAUCUGAAGGUAGGUGAAUGAAGAUUCACCAAUUUCCACCAUGAAAAACGAAAUAAUUUAUUAAGUUUUAAUUGGAUUUGAAACUCCUAGAUCUUUUGAGAUUCAUUGAACUUUUCAAUGGCAUGUUUCAGUCUCGAGUGUGCCCUUCAGGUUUUGUGACUGGGAUGCCGAGGAUCACAAAACAAGGUGUGAAGUAACCAUGCAAAUUACUUGGUACCCUUAAGUGUUUACCCCUCAAUCGAUGUGCCGGUUAACCACACACGCUCCAUCGAUACUAUGAUAAACAUUAAGUUACCCUUUGCCUACCUUGUUAAAUACGAGUUAGUGUGCCGGUUAACCACACACGCUCCACUAACCGACUUAAACAAAGUGCAAAGUGUAAUUUCAUGGAUUAGCACCUUAUUCACAUUUUCCUAAGUAACUAAGAUUGGGUAUUUAUAAAAGGUUUAGUUACUUAGUAUUUAUCAUUAAUACUUUUAAUGAAGGGAGAAUUAUAGUCCUUGUCCUACCCGUUCGGCUAACGACCCUCCACCGGUCAAGGAAGCGGUGGGUGAGAGUGGACACCCAUUAAACUGCCAUUUUAUAGGCAGUAACCUUAUACCCCCCUUAUAGACCGGCUUCGUGAAUGAGGCCUACUAACGGUAAGACUGACUUUACUCUUAUACAUAUAUAUAAAUAUUAUUAACUUAUAAUAUUAUAAAGUAUAAGGGUUGAAUUUUAACUUUUAAAAUUCUAAGGUCUAGUUUGGAAUUAAAGUAUACAUGGGGGGUAACUUUACAAAUUCCAAAACUUGAGGACAAGUUUUGAAACCUUUCAAAACUCUUGGCUUUUUCAUAACUUAUGAGUUUAAUUAAGGUUUAAGAAAAAAAAAUUCAAGUUCCAUAACUUGAGGACAAGUUAUGGAAGACAUUAAAUCAUUUAAUGAUGACAUUAAAAAUAGAGACUCUUCUAUUUUCAUAACCUAUGAGACUUAAUGACACUUUAAAAAGAAAAACUCUUCACUUUCCAUAACUUGAGGACAAGUUAUGGAGUUCAUAAAAACCAUUAAGAUCAAAUAUUCCAAUUAACACAAUAAUCAAAUAAUUUUUCUAUGAUCUAGAUUAAACUCAUAAGUAAAGAUAAUUCACAUCAACAAUUUUCAAGAAAUUAGAUAAUCAUAUAAACUAAUACAAAUCUUGAAACUUUGACAAUUAUCCUUUGAAGACUCUUGGACUUCAUAACCUAAAGAGUUAAUAAAUGAGACAUUUCACAUCCAUAACUUAUGGAAGUUUCAAAACUCUUAAGAUCAUAACUUUAAAAAAACUUUUGAGUUCCAAAAUUUUAUGACAAAAUUUGUAACUCCUUAAAACCACUUAGAUCAAACUUUUAAAACAAAUAAAAUAAUCAUAUCAUUCUAUCUUUUAAUAAAUUGACCUAAUUCAACUCUUGUAGUAAAGUGACUCAAAUUUUACAAAUAAUUAGUUUUUCAUAAAAUCAAGUAAUUAUCAUAAAAUUAUGAAAAACUUCAUGUUUUUUUUCUAUUUUUUUCAUCAACUUUAAAAAAAAAUACAUUUGCAUCAAAUAUAGUAGAAAACAACCCAUGGCUCUGAUACCACUGUUGGGUUUUGGUAUAAUACAACAUCCUAUGGUGCACAUACAACCCUAAAUACCUUGGAUCUAUGUUUUCAAUAAUUAUACAUGCAAAUGGUUUCCAAGGCAUUAAACCUAUAACUAGCAUGCAUUUGACAUAAACCAUAUAAUAUACUAGUUAGGAAAACAUACCUUUUAUGCGGCUUGAAGUCUUGAUGUAUUUGGCCUUAAGAGCUUAGCACCAAUAGUAUGAAAUGCCUCAAAUGGAAUCACAACACACCUAGGACAAAGGUGGCUCUUGAGAGAGAAUUCCAUGCACCAAAACACCUCCAUAUUUCUCUAAGAAAAGAAGUGGUGAUUUUGGCUAUGGAGUAACCUAUUUAUAUGUAGGAUUCCAAGGGUCAUGGGUAUAACCCAUAAUCCAUACCCAUGGGUUUUAUGAUCCAUGGUUCAUGUGGCCCAACUCUUUAUGUAUCCAUACAUAAACUUGGUCCAACAUGGGUCAUAAGCCCAACACAUAUAAAUAUAACUAAUUAUCAUAAUUAGUCCCCAUAGAUUUAAUUAGUCUCUUUUGAUCACUAAAUUAAUUCCAAAUUAAUUCUUGAUCGAUACUAAUUAAAACGUAUGAUUUCAUAUUAAUAUAUUAUAACUUAUAAUAUAUUAAUAAACCAUAAAUAACUUUCUCUCAAAAGUCCAUCCUAACAAAUUGUCCUGAUGAUAUGCAACCCAAAUGGACCAUGCUACUCUCGGGUCAAGUACAUACCAAUAAUAGUUAUGAGCUUAGACAUCUAAUCCAACAGUAACAACCUAAGAUUGAUGUUAGUGGAUGAAGGAUGAAUUUCCGUUAUAUUCGCAGUGAUGAUCACCAAUAUUAUUUCUUUGAUAAAACAAGAAAAGAUUGAUGAAUUUCAAGUACUUAUAUGAAAAAUCUUGCUUUAUCUAUUUUCAUCACCUAGCCAAUGUGAGAUUGCUAAGAAAGACAUGAUUUAACAUUCUAUUUUUGGGGCUAGAAGUUUUGUGCUUUUAAAAAAAAAUAAAAAGUUUCAAUAAUUUAAAAUAAAAUAAAUAAAGGUAAAUGAUUUUGAUUAAUAACAAUAAUAAACAUUAUUUCUAAGUCAUAAAUAAAUUAUGAUAGAGUUUGGGCGUCGAAAGAAUUUUUUAAGGUUUUGGCACCAAAAGUGACAAGUUGGGAAAACUUGUGUUUGAUCCAAAAAUUUAACCAAAUAAGCAUCUCCGGACUAGGUUUGCAUUAAUUAUGAUGGAGAACGACCAAUUUUGGAGUAAAGAAAAAUGUUAAAACAUUUUUUGAAGAAGGACAAAANNNNNNNNNNNNNNNNNNNNNNNNNNNNGGGGUGUUACACCCUUAGCAAGCGGGUCGUGCUUGUAUCACUGAAUAUAUGAUAAGCAACAUUUUUUCAAGUUUUUCUCAUUCUUUAACCCUUUAUCCUCCAUUCAUUUUCCAAGGACUUUCUCCCCAUCAAACUUGAUUUUCCUUCAUACUAUCUUAGCAUUUGAAGCUUGAAGAUUGUUAGUUGAAGCCUCAUUAUUUCCUUUUAAUAAUAUACCUUGGAGGUAUUUUCUUCACCCUUUCUUCCCCAAAUUAAACCUAGGGUUUGUGUGUUAGUACAAAUUCAAAUUUCAUACUUCAUUAUUGAUGUUCUUAUGAGAUUAUUGAUGUAGUUUCAUUCUUUGAUCCAUUUCCAAGCUCCAAUUAGUUAAUAGUUGUGAGAUUUGUCAGUUUUGAGUGGUUUUGAUGGAUUUACUUGACCACCAAUGGUGAAAUAUGAAUUUGGUGUUCAUUGUCUAGUUAUGAGCUUGAUUUAUACUUAGUGAUUGUAUUUAACUUCCAACUGAUGAUCCAUUGGUCAAUUAUAACUUAUGGUGAGAUUAUUUGGUAUUUAAUUUAAAUUUAGCUUCUGUGGUGAUGAUUUGGGUAGUUUAAAUUCUAGGGUUCAUUGAUUCAAAUUAUCGAUUCCAAGCAAUGACAUGAUAUUGUUAUGAUUAGAUUUCUUAUUUUCUUUUAAAUCCAUGACAAAUUUGUUAAUUCAUGACUAAUGAUGAGAUUUUUAGUGUUUGAUUCAAGUUUAGAUUUCAUGUGAUGGUUUAGGUAUUUUCAAACCCUAAGUGUUUUAGAUCAAGUUCCAUGAUUUCAAACAAUGAUAUGAGUUUGAUGUUAUGCUUAGAUGAUGGAUUCCAUUCUAACCUAUGAUCCAUUUACAAUUCUUGUUUCAUGGCGAGAUUAUAAAAUUUAGGCUAGAACUUUACUUUAAUUUGGGGAUUUCAAAUUUUUAUUAUUAUAGAACUAUGUUCCAAGCUUGAAUUCUCAAAUGGAGCGUAAUAUCUAGUCUAAUUUUGGUAUUCAAGCAUUCUUUGAGGAAUUUGGGAAGUAAUAUGCUUGUUUGGUGUCAUAAAUAAUGUUCAAAUGAAUUAUAAAUGUUCAUCAAAAAAUUGAGUUUUGGUAUUAAGUUAUACUUUAAGUUUAAAGUUUACAUAACCUCAUAUUUCCCUCAUGAAGUAGUUUUGGUGCGUGUAUUGUAAGUAUGGAGUCAAAAGAAUUGUCUUUUCAAAGCAAACCCUUCAACUUUUGUUUUUAUCUUUUUUGAUGAUUAAAAUGAUUUUUAUAAAAAUGUAGACGGUUGAAGGUUAUGUGACAACCUGAAAUUUCCAAUUGUAUGAACCUCAUCUAUUCAAUAGAAGCUAGUUCAGUUUCUGUGAUUUUCAAGCUUUUCCGAGCAAGUUUGUGUACAUUAGGGUUCAUGUUUUAGAUGAUAUCAGGAGAGUGGAUACUCCUGCUUUUGUGAAACUUGGGCAUUUCAAGUUUCAUACUGUUACAGUCCAACGUCAGGAAUAAAAAUAUUUUCUGUCAAAAUAUUCCAGGACUAUAAAUAGUUUUCUGAAUUAAAUUAAUUCAUUAUUCACAAUUCCAAAUAGAGAAAAGCCAUAUUCUCUCUGACGGAUCUUCGGGUUUUCAUCCCAUAUUGUGAGUCUACUUUGCUAAAUGUGUUUCAAUACUUGUUUAAUGCUUAUUAACAACAAUAACAUGUUUAGAUUACAAGAUCCGGGAGUUUACCGCCCAAGAACGUUCUUGGGGAGUAAACUACAAAAUGGAACUUUAAUGCUUUCUAGACCCAUUCCGAUGUUAGAGGACUUGUAAAGGACUUAGUGUAUGAUCUUUGUAGCCUAGAAAUCAUCCAAGAAGCAUAAGUUCUUGGAGUUUACGGCCAAGGAACUCCCUUGGGCCGUAAACCCCUUUUCAAGGGAUUAAAGUGCCCCAUAUCUUCCCCAAAUGCUUAAGGACUUUAACUACUAGUACUUGUGCUNNNNNNNNNNNNNNNNNNNNNNNNNNNNNNNNNNNNNNNNNNNNNNNNNNNNNNNNNNNNNNNNNNNNNNNNNNNNNNNNNNNNNNNNNNNNNNNNNNNNAAUCUUCUCUUGAAAUUAUAUUUAUGCUUCAAAAUGUUUUAUGAAUACUUAUUUAUGCUUUAUAUAUACAAUUGCAUGUCCAUAUAUGUAUAGAUAUAUAAAUAAUGUUCAAAAGGCUUAGGAAUGCCAUCCGCCCUAUUUCCUUUUCCUCGAUUUGGAUGUGGUCUGGUGGGAUUUCGGGUGACCAUCCGAAGGUCGUUUCCAUAUUACUUAUAUAUCAUAUAUACAUGUAUAGACAUAAAAGUACUUCCAUAUUCAUACUCAUCAGUACAUCAUUAGCUGGUUACCAUCGGGGUAACGCAGGAUCAUACAUAUACAGAUAUACUAGAAACAAUACAUAUACAGAUAUACUAGAAACAAUACAUAUACAGAUAUACUAGAAACAAUACAUAUACAGAUAUACUAGAAACAAUACAUAUACAGAUAUACUAGAAACAAUACAUAUACAGAUAUACUAGAAACAAUACAUAUACAGAUAUACUAGAAACAAUACAUAUACAGAUAUACUAGAAACAAUACAUAUACAGAUAUACUAGAAACAAUACAUAUACAGAUAUACUAGAAACAAUACAUAUACAGAUAUACUAGAAACAAUACAUAUACAGAUAUACGAGAAACAAUACAUAUACAGAUAUACGAGAAACAAUACAUAUACAGAUAUACGAGAAACAAUACAUAUACAGAUAUACGAGAAACAAUACAUAUACAGAUAUACGAGAAACAAUACAUAUACAGAUAUACGAGAAACAAUACAUAUACAUAAAUACGAGAAACAAUACAUAUACAUAAAUACGUAAUAAUUGUGAUCCACUGUAUCGGGCAUGCCUUAAAUGUCAUGGCCCGAGUUGUAGCCAGAAUUCUCUUGGAGGGAGAGCGUGAGUUUGCGUAUAGAUCUAUACUGGAUUGACUAUCCUACACCUUGCUGCUAGCUACAGCCGGACCUGCAGGUCUGCGGGUGCCAAACGUCAUUUCUUUUAUUACGACCGUUCAUUAUGUCGUUGUUACCAGUCGAUAGCAUGGUGCAAUUUAUCACAAUAUACCUUAAUAUAAAUCCGGUUUAAGGUAGUAGUAAUAAUUAGUACAGCAAUAGCCUUAAGAUACAAAGCUACAGUACUACAAUGAUUUACCCAUUACAGAUUUUAGUGAUAACCUCACUUAAGCAUUAAUGUACAAACUAUAUUUUUAUCAAAUGAUAGUUAUACUUGGGUAAUUACAUGCUUUUACAACAGACAGGUUCACAAAACAGUUUAGCCUUGGUAGAAAGUUACUUUUAUAGAAAAUAUAGGAUUUUCUGAGGGAUUCAAACUUUUACAAACACUUUCGAACAUUUGCUUACAUUCUUACAAACUUUUACAUUGAGACAGGUUCGAACGUUUUUACAAGAAACAUUGACACUAAAAUACUUAUGAACUCACCAGCUUAAUGCUGAUAAACUCUUUCAAAACAACUUGUAUUCUCAGGUCAUCAGUAGACAGGUACCAAGGCCAGCUUUUGAGAAGAUGGAGUGCAUUCAAGACUCAUCUCAUAUUAUUUUGUUAUACAUUAUUUUUGGUGUCUAUAACUAUACAGAACACACUUGUAUUAAAAUUAUAUAUUUAAUGCAAUGGAUGAUGUUGUUUGCUUAUUUACAUUUACUGUGUUGUGAUACUAUACAUGACGUCCUCCGCCCCAGAACGUUUCCGCCGUUCUUGGUUUUGGGGUGUGACAG
rnacentral:lncRNA from 1 species